rnacentral:lncRNA from 1 species
UGCUUGUGCCUCUGCACGGCUGUUGAUAACCACAAGCUGGCCGGAGAGCUGCACCUGCUGCACGGCGAGGAGUAUACAUCGUGCAAGUACCCCUGCUACCUGAAAGGGAAGACAUGAGCAGUUACUACUCGCUAGUGCCUCAUCUCCCUCCGCAUUCAAACGCCGUCCCGGGUAGGUCGUCUCCAUUCAAAGCACCUGCCUGCACCGCUCAUCCGAUCCUCAGCCUGACCAGCGUCGUUUGGCUGAUAAGCCAUGGUAAAAAAAUACUGUUAGCUGAUUUACUGCGAGACCUCAGCUGAUCAGCGUCGUUUGGCUGAUAAACCAUGGUAGAAAAUACCGUUGGCUGAUUUACUGCGAGAGAAAAACACUGCUAAAUAGCUGGCAAAUAAGCCUAACCAAACAAGUACACAGCAAUCUCUCCACUGUUGCUUCUUCGUUCUGAGGUUUUCCAUAAUUCCAUUCAUGCAUUCGUUCUCAUCCACAGUGAGACGGGUGACAGAUGUUUAGACAAUGCGUUGCACGUGCUCGAUCGUGUUCCGGUAGGUUCUCAGGUUAAAACGGGCCUAGCUGUUCGUCUUGUCAAGCUCCUUAAUUAAUGAAUCCACAGUUGGCUCGCAAAAAACCUCGAUCGGAUUGCAAAUUAACUGACUGCAAGUAGUAAUUAACAUGCUGCUCACUUGUUCGUUUGGCAUACAUAUAUCACGUCCUGAAUACUGAUCUAUCUGACGAUGCUUUGCUUCUCGCCGGAGCUCCAUCUAGCUAGUACGACAGUAGACGCUGUUGUUGAUGAGCCACCAAACCAACACCAUUUCCUUUUCUCGCUGAUCGAUCCCCGUGGUUGGAACACGACCACCGAUCGAUCUGGCCGCCGCCGUCGCCGGCGAGAGCGAGGGGGCGCUUUGGACGGGUGAGCUGCCCCCGACCAACCACCACAGCCCGGGCCGGCCGGGUUGCCAUCACCUUCGUUCGCAGAUUGUGCAGGCGCUAUGAGGGCUAGAUGGAGUCAGAUCAUUUCAUUAUGAUAGUAGCCGUGGUAUGGCGUGGACUGGUGGAUGGUGGUCAGUGCUCGCUACUCACUAGUCACCACUCAUCAGUACUUGGGCUUUGUUUAGGCCUUGUUUAGUUCUCAAAAAAUUUUGCAAACUUUUUUAGAUUCCCCGUCACAUCAAAUCUUUAGACGCAUGCAUGAAAUAUUAAAUAUAGAUAAAAAUAAAAACUAAUUGCACAGUUUGGUCGGAAUUGACGAGACGAAUCUUCAAUAAAUAUGCUGCCACAUCAGCAAAAUACCAUAAAUAAUGUGUAAUUAAUUGUCUUGGACUCUAUGAUAGAGUCUUGCAUUGUGAGUGCCCUUAUACAUGGAACUCAGUAGAACGAGCAUAUACCUGGUAAUAUCGAAGUUCUUCUCGUUUUAGGCCUUGUUUAGUUCACAUCAAAACCAAAAAAUUUUCAAGAUUUCUCAUCACAUCGAAUUUUGUGGCACAUGGAGCAUUAAAUAUAGAUGAAAACAAAAACUAAUUGUACAGUUUACCUGUAAAUCGCGAGACGAAUCAUUUAAGCCUAGUUACUCUAUGAUUGGACAAUGUUUGUCAAAUAAAAACAAAAAUGUUAUAGUGUCAAAAUCUAAAAACUUUUCGGAUCUAAACAAGUCUUUAAUAAUCGUAUACAUAUAUAUAGCCAAGGUUAGGCAUUUAGACUUUUGAUGAAGAACGAGAACUUCUAGAAGCUCAUCAUGAUCGAUGACGGCCUCAUCAGAGCGGUGUUGCUAAAAAAAAAAGAGUACAGAGCGGUGGCCAGCACCACCGGCCCCAAGGCUUCGUGCAGCAGGUAAGGUCGGCUUGAUGGCACCGAUCCAGCCUUAACUUCGUGGAGGUUGCAUUGCAGUUGCAGUGAUGAUGGAUGCACAACAACACAUGUGGAGUACUCGUAUAGGGUGCACAGGCCUCAUUUAUAGUGGAAUUGAAGGCGUUGUCAAGAAUUAGGCCGCCUCCGCCUUCUUCCCUAUUGUUGCUAUAUUUUUUGGAUGUUUGUUUUCGAGGCUUAGAACUCCCCUUGGCAUUGCAAUUUUCUGGGAUGAUUCGAAAUGUUCUGUACAAAUUAACCUGAAAAAAAUGUCUAUGCGAACUAAACGGUUUAUAUCAUUAUAGAUAUAGUUUAUACAAAUUACCCUGCGUAAUAAAGUGUAUCCACCGAUCUUACUCUUUCUCAAUAAUAAUAAUACGAAUCCGUCGUCGUUGAUUGCAGAAUGCGGCAUGCGGCUGGCGGCGGCCGGGUACGGCGUGUUCGGGAUGGACUACGAGGGCCACGGCAAGUCCAUGGGCGCCCGCUGCUACAUCCGCAGCUUCCGCCGCCUCGUCGACGACUGCAGCCAUUUCUUCAAGUCCAUCUGCGGUGGGUGAUCAUCAGCCGUGAGCUAGAGCUAGAGCUAGGCCCUGCGAAGCUGCAUCUGCCAUUCCUGUGUUUCCUGCAUCAGAUUCACUUUCUGAAAUCCCUGAACCUGUUGGUGCGUUCAGAGCUUGAGGAGUACCGGGGCAAGAGCCGGUUCCUGUACGGCGAGUCCAUGGGCGGCGCGGUGGCGCUGCUGCUGCACAGGAAGGACCCCGCCUUCUGGGACGGCGCCGUGCUCGUCGCGCCGAUGUGCAAGGUCGGUCAGUCAGUCAGAUCCUCGUCUCAAUCUCUUCUGGUUCGUCUGCACUGCAUGAUGAGUUUGCAUGCUUGUGCUUUGCCGCCUGAACUGAAAAACUCUUGUUUUUCAGAUAUCAGAGAAGGUGAAGCCACACCCUGUGGUGAUCACGCUCCUGACGCAGGUGGAGGACGUGAUCCCAAAGUGGAAGAUCGUGCCCACCAAGCAGGACGUCAUCGACGCCGCCUUCAAGGACCCCGUCAAGCGUGAAAAGGUCAGUCCAUCGACGACUGCAUGCGGGGACUGCCUUGCUUCUUUUUUUUACAAAAACAAAAACAAAAAAAAUGGUAUUGUCUGACUGAAAGAAACGCUCUUAUGAUGCUCCUGCCAUGCCAAGCAGAUCAGGAGAAAUAAGCUGAUUUACCAGGACAAACCGCGGCUCAAGACUGCGCUAGAGAUGCUCAGGACCAGCAUGUACAUAGAAGACAGCUUGUCACAGGUACCACCAGGCUUACCAGUCUCAAUGUUGCAUUCGACGGUAAAACCUGUCUGUCAGUCACAGUCAGCAGCUCAACUCUGGUUCUGAACUUUUUUCUGAAUGUUUUUGAACAGGUGAAGCUGCCGUUCUUCGUCCUGCACGGCGAGGCCGACACGGUGACGGACCCGGAGGUGAGCCGCGCCCUGUACGAGCGCGCGGCGAGCGCCGACAAGACCAUCAAGCUCUACCCGGGGAUGUGGCACGGCCUCACCGCUGGGGAGACCGACGAGAACGUGGAGGCCGUCUUCUCCGACAUCGUCUCCUGGCUCAACCAGCGCUGCCGGAGCUGGACCAUGGAGGACCGCUUCAGGAAGCUGGUGCCAGCGCCGGCCAAGUUCAUCCAUGGUGACGACGCCGUCGACGGCAAAGCGCAGACACAAGGGCGUCCUCGGCGGCGGCGUCCGGGCCUCCUCUGCGGGCUUGCCGGCCGGACGCAUCACCAUGCAGAAAUGUGAAUACAGAAGAAUUACUGUAAUGGACCCAGGAUCAGAUGGGCGCCUGCUUCAACAAUGGCAAAUAAGGAAGUGAUGAUGUGCAAAUUUGUGAUAUACUUGGUCUUAUGCUCGACAAAGUUAUGUAUGACCAAUCAUUCCCUUCCCUCCAUUGUGGUGAACAUUUGCUCAAUCUUUUGUUCCGUUCGCAGAUGGAAACUCAUGUUCAAAUAUAUGUAAGCUUAUAGCGCUAUGACCUUGAGAUGUCAUUAGCUUUCCAGACAAUCUGUUAACAAUACAUUAGAAAAAGUACGUUGUUACAUACUAUAGCAUUACAUCCAAAUUAGGAAAGAACAGCAGUACAGCAGUGCAAGAUAUUUUCGUACUUGGUAACAAACAUUUAUAUAUUCCUAUUAUAAGAACUACGUAUGCAACCAUGACCUUUUUGUCCGUGUCGUAUAGAGCAACCAAAGAGCAUACCACCAAAACUGUCCAGAUCUUAUGCUCCCGCCCGCUUUUGUAUCAAGUGAUCAUACAAACUGAACAAACGUGUCACUUCCAACAAGUUGAGGACUAAGAAAGGCCACCAGCUGCCUCAGUGGAUUCUCCUUGGUCCCCGAAGAUACGUUUGCGGAAGUCAGUGACCAUGCGAGGAAGACCCUCACGAAGGGGAACCUUGGGCUCCCAGCCAAGGAGCUCUUUUGCGCGGCUGAUGUCAGGCUUGCGCUUGUGUGGAUCGUCUGCAGUGUUUGGACGGAACUCGAUGCGCGCCUCUGGGUCGAUGGUGUCCUGAACCACCUUAGCCAGCUCCAGCAUGGUGAAUUCUCCAGGAUUACCGAGGUUGAAUGGUCCAAUGUGAUCCCCUUCCAUGAGCUUCAUCAGCCCUUCCACCUGCGGAAAAUGUGACGCCAGUUUAGAUACCUAUAGAAUCAACAAAAUUGGAUAGUAGAACAAAUGACUGAUACUCAUCACCAAGCAUGAUUUCUGAAUAACCGGAUGUCUUAGCAAGAAAUGACUGACAAAAGGAUCUUUGGUAGAUUAUAAAUAUGCACUCCGAUCUCUGAUGAGCAAUAAAGCAUGGGAUAUAUGUAGCAUAUGGAUGUUUUCAAGGAUGCUGGUAUUUAUCAACAUGUUUGAGAUGUCAAGUGUGUAGAUAUGCCUAAGAUACUAUGCAAAUAGGAUUAAGCACUCAUAUGAUGCAAAUUGAUAUGUCAGGGCAUUUGGUAUUGGCAGGUUUGUUCAAAUGCCCCUUUAAGAGUGAUUGAGGAACCCACCAAAUCUGAUACGUAUUGAAAGCUCCUAGUCUGUUUGCCAUCGCCAUAAACUGUCAAAGGCUCCUUCCUCAGCGCCUGAAAAAUAUAAUUCAUAAUGAGCAUCUUAUUACCAAAAUAAGUGCAUAUGCAUUAAAGUGUUCAAAGAGGAGGCUGUCAACUGGUGGCUACCUGAGCAACAAAAUUACUGACAACACGACCGUCAUCAAUGCACAUGCGAGGACCAUAUGUGUUGAAGAUCCGGGCAAUCCUUACCUAAGUAAAAAAGGAAACAAUCUAACAUAAUUGUACUACAGCCACAAAAGUUAAUCUGAAUGCUAUUGAUAUCAGACAUUUGGAUGGCACAAAAACCUCAAGGUUGGCACCACGAUGGUAGUCCAUGGUUAAUGUUUCAGCUGUACGCUUGCCCUCAUCAUAGCAGCUCCUGACACCUAUCAUUAUAACAGAAGUAUUUUCAUUAAUACAAAAAUGCUUUGAGUACAUGAAAUAAAACAGUAUGUUACAAAAUACGAAAAAGGCUCCCAUUAGGAUAUGAUAUGAUCAUAUGUUCCUGUCAAGAUCAACUAUUUUCUUGGUUCUUAUCAGCUUCUUGAUUCCUCUCUCAUGCUCAUUGGUUGCACUAGUUUGGUUAAACUAAGCGGACCUAGUGUGGUUUUAUCCUAUUCUUCCUUUAUUAGGGAGGGAUCCACAUAGUGGCUGUCCUGCUUGGAACUAAUUCUACCAACCAAAAGUGUCCAGGAAAGAUCCAAAGCAUGUACGUCAACCAAAUUACAAAUCCACAAUCAACAAUUCCCAGCAUUUCUAAUUCCAGCCAAACAUCUCUUUGCCCAACAGUUCAUAGGAGCAGUAGCAUCACAACCAAUGAGCAAAUAAUAGUGCCAUCUAAUAAUGGCACGUUUAAAUAUCGUGUUCCAAAGAAAAGAAACACAAAUACUGUGUUGAUAAUCGGGUGACCAGAAUUAAAGCCAGCAAUGAGGAUAUCCCUGUACUUUCCACUAAUCUCCUAUGAUCGACUCAAUCGAUUUGUUUGAUGGAACUGUUGCAAUACAGAAUUUGCAAAAAAAAUAAUAUCAUGAAGAGGAGUACCUAUAGGGUUGACAUUGCCCCAAUAAGUUUCCACCUGAGGGUGCUGGAGGGGAUCACCAUAGACUUCACUGGUGCUUGUAAGUAGGAACCUUGCCCCAAUCCUCUUGGCCAACCCAAGCAUGUUCAGUGUCCCAACAACAUUCGUCUUGUGCCAUCUCAAAAGUUAAAGUUCACAAUAACAUUUCAAAAAGACAGAGCAAGCACUAACAAGUCAAACAGCUUUCUUAUUGGACGUUCUGACUAUCUGAGGAUCUAGUUUGGUAGCUAGGCACUUAGGCUUCACCUCCCCCAAGCUGCCAAGCACACUAGCACUAGUAGUUGGAAAAAAGAAAGACAUAUGACAGUGAAGUGAUAGAUACACAACAUUUAUUAUGAAGAAAGGCCGUGGCCUGGACCUAUAAUUUUUGCAGCUACAAUCCAAACUUUUCAACAGCUCAACUAGUCCGAAGUCUGCUUGCAUCUUUGACCUUUACUCCUAUUACAAGUUAGGAAAACAUGAAGCAAUCAUGUUCAUUAAAACUAGAAUUAGCAGGCAACCCAAUCCAAGAUCACCAGAUCCAAGAACCUUUCUUCAGAGCAAUCCAACCAUAUAAUUUUGUAUGCAGGAAGGAGAGACUGACUUCAAGUAUGAAAACCAUAUAAAAAAACUACGAACCACACAUUUCCUACGAAACAACAUAUGAAAUUCGUUCAAAUAGUCUACUUUGACCAACCCUCAUUCUAAAAUGUAUCUUUACCUUCAAAAAAUAAUCAAACCCAUAUAACAUCAGGAACAAACAAAAUUAAACCAUAAACAAAGGGUACAACAAAACAACUUAGCAAGAAUUGAGUCACAACCAUCAAUCAUCAUUAAAAUAAUAACAAUAAAACGAAAGUAAAUUUGGAUUAGCAUUCAGAUUCAGAUGAAGCAACUGAGUGAGGAUAUGAUGGUCUUGAUGGGGUUGUACUUGUAGUGCACGGGGCUGGCUGGGCAGGCAAGGUGGUAGAUCUGGUCGACCUCGAGCAGUAUGGGCUCGACGACGUCGUGGCGGAUCACCUCGAACCUGGGGUUCUGGAGAUGGUGCGCCACGUUGCCCUUGCGCCCCGUGAAGAAGUUGUCCACCACGAUCACGCUGUCGCCGCGCUCCACCAGCCGGUCCACCAGGUGGCUCCCCACGAACCCAGCGCCGCCCGUCACGAGCACCCGCAGCGCCCGCCGACGCAGCCCCAGGGGCACCUUGCCGCCGACGGACUCGCGGAAGGACGGGUGCCCGGUGACGGCAAGGUGGUUGAAUCCGACCGACGCGGCGGGCUCGGACGGCGACGAGGUGGAGGGGGAGGAGAAAGUGAAGAGGGCGGCAGCGAAGAGCAUGCCGGCGAGGGCGAAGACCGGGCGGUGCUCGGCGGCGGCGUAGCGCGCGGCGCGGGAGAGCCAGGAGAGCGGCUUGGAGGGCUUCGGGGAGUACUCUCCGCCGUUGGAGGCGGAGCCUGGCGCCGCGCUGCCGCCACGGUACGUCAGCUCCGACGCCAUCUCCGGCGAAGGGCCUGGAUGUAAAUUUCAGUUGGGGCUUUGGACCAGAUCGUGAAGUAGUAGUAUGGAGGAGUCGGCACUCGGCAUCAGCAGUGAAGAAAAAUGGCUUAUAUCGUGUGCGAUGCGAGAGGCGAACGACCUGUUCGUUGAAAAUGAUAUGAGACGUCGGAUCGGUGAUGGACGGUACACCCGGUGGGUUUGCCGGUGCCGCAAGCCACCUCGUGAGUCGUCAACGUCCACCGGCUUUCCGCUUCACCUUCACGAGUCACGACCUCACCUGCAACGAAACAGAGUUGCCAAAGAAACUGAAGUUGGAUUUCAACUAACCAAAACGUCCAAACAUGUUGUGCGAGAAUCACGGAGGUUUUUCACAUUAUUUGUGUGAGAAUGAGAAUUAAGCACCCGUACAUUAAUAUUAGGUUAGAGUAGCUCCACUAUAUCGAGAGGACUCAACUCCACUAAAGGUUAUGAAGUAAUUGUUAGUCAGCUAACAAUUUGUUAGAAUUAGCUCUAACCUAUUUAAACAUGGAGCUAAUAGAUGAGUUAAUUUGUUGCUCAAACCUUCAACUAGUUGUUAGCCAAUCUCCUGAUUUGGACUAAUUUUUAAUCCCACUAAUAACUAGCACUAACUCAUCCAAACAAACUCUAGAUACUGAUUUGUUCAAUUUCAUUCUCAAUUAAGAAAAAUCGUGCACCAAUCACUGGAAAAAAGAGCAACCAUAUCCUUUUUCCAUCCCACAUAAUAUGGAAUCUCCACACCGGCAGCCACGUUGUAGAACAUGUAAGUGCAAUCAACGUAUAAGUGAGUUUUGGUGAUGAUGGAUUGAUGGUCUAUAACUAAAGGACUAGUGGCUUUUGUAAGAUGUGAAAAGAGAACCCCCCCCCUCCCUCCCCAAAUUCAAAAGAGAUGGCUUGGAAGCCCAAAGAACGAGUUUAAGUUCAUUUUAUCUUUUCGAAUUAAAUUUAGGACAAGUCAUAUUAUAAAAGAGGAACACUAUUGGUAAGUUCGGAUAAAUCAAGUGCUCAAAAUUCUGUAUAAUAUACAAAAUAAAGACGCCUACACAUGGACCUAGUGGUGUUCAGAGUCUAUAAAAUGGCAUAUCUCAAAUGAACUACGAAUAGUAAUGGCACUGUUCCAAUAUGACAAAUAGUGAUGGUAGUUUGCAAAAGUUAUAAUGAUAUGGUUCCAAUUAACGAAUGAGAACCCUCUGAAUUUUUGAACUUAUCUCAAAUCUCAACCAUUCUAGAAAAAACUAACAUAGAGGAAGCUUAAUUCAAGCACCAUCUCAAAUCACAUGUUGAAGAUAACAUUAGUUGACUAUCCUAUAUACUUAGAAUUUCUUUGAAGUUUAAGCUGAAGUCCUAGGAUUUGUAUAACAUAUACUAUAACUAUUGAGUAUUAAAAAAUUCAUAAAUAAAAAAGGUCUUGUAGUUACAAUUUUAGGGAUUUGAUUUCUAGGUUCAUUCUUAGAGCAUCUCCACCGUAUAUCCUAUCCAAUUUCUUAUAUACAAAAAGAAGUAUUUUAGAAGAUGGAAGUGUUGCAACAGAUUUCGUAUCUCAUCUUCUAAAUAUACCUAUAAUCUCGACGAAAUCUCCUAAAAAAAACCUUCUCUCUCCUAAGUAAAGGAGACAACCAUCUGCCCUGCACCCAACUUAUAGAAGAUACAAUAUAUGAGAUCUGAUGGAGAUGCUCUUACAUAUGAAGACAUUAAUUGUGAUUUGAAUCUGAUGUCAAAUGCACGUUGCAAAACGUUUCAGUGUUUCAUUAGGAGACAACCCCUCUGCCUUCUCACGUCAUUAAACUUUAGCUCUAUCACAUCGGAUGUUUGGACACAUGCAUAAAAUAUUAAAUAUAGAUUAUUUAUGAAACUAAAACACAACUAAAGAAUAAUUUGCGAGAUGAUUUUUUAAAGCCUAAUUAGUUCACGAUUGAACACCAAUUGUUAUAGUUACAAAAAUACUACAGGCCCGUACCAAACACCCUGCAGAAGAUACAAUAAUGUGUUCUCUAGUUAAUUUCUGAAUCCGAUUUUGAACUCUCGGACGCUUUUAUCGUGCAAAAAGCUUGAUAGCUUUUGCUCUCUUCGGUUGAAAUGAAAUGCUGGUUCCUUGCGUUUAUCUGCUCAAUCUGCCAGCGAACAGAGCAGGACCGUGUCAUCACCGUGAUCUUUGUUUUUUGUUUCACACAGGUGUACUUGAUUGCACUGACUUGACAUGCUCAUGCACAAUGGAGAGGAACAGCCAAGGAGCGAAUCUAAUCAACUUUCUGAAUUUUCGGAGAACAAUACAAGUUCACAAGCAACUUGUUCACCCAAUCAGUUCAAGUUUAUUUCAAUGCGUCGAGCACACAAGAUCCGAGGUCACUAUUAUUUAUUUUAUAUAGUAUAAACUAAUUGUCCUUACUACCGUUGAAUCUGUUGAUCUUGAAGUGGCCGAGUUCCACGCCGGCCUCCGCUGCCGUCUUCGCCUCGCCGUCGAUGGCCAUCUCAGCCAGGAUCCUCCCCACCGCCGGCCCCAUCUUGAAGCCGUGGCCAGAGAAGCCGGCCCCGACCACCACGUCCUCCCCGAACGCCCCACCCAGCCAGUCGAUGACGAAGUCCUUGUCUGGCGUCAUGGAGCAUAUGCACGACUGCCGGACGACCGGCCCGCCGGCGGAGUCCACGUGGCCCGGCAUGAACUCCGCGAUCCACCUAGCCACGCGGUCGGUGAUCUCCCUGUCGCCGGAGGCCCAGUCGCGGUUGUCCGGGUCGCACGGCGGCCCGCCGUCGCAGCUGAUCUUGAUGAGGCCCGGGAGCUCAAGCGACGGCGUGCCGUAGACGGGCGUGUCGCCGUAGCUGGAGAAGGUCGGGAAGCCAGCCUUGGCAUUCAGGCCGCGCUCGCGGCCGGGCUUGAUGCGCCAGUAGAGGGUCAACGUGUGCAGCGGCUGGAUGGGGAUCUCCACGCCGGCGACGGACCUGAGAAGCUUGGUCGUCCAGGCGCCCACCGUCACGACGCACUUGGCGCCGCGGAACUCCUCGCCGGCGCUCGUCGUCACCACGACGCCUCCCUGCGAGCCCGGCGCCUUGCCGAUGUCCACGACCUCGGCGUUGUCCCUGACCACGGCGCCCAUCUUGACGGCGAGCGCCUGGAACAUGGCCACGGCCUUGGUCGCGUUCAGCACGCCGCCGCCGCGCUCGCUCACCGCGGUCACCCACCCUUCCGCCGGUGCCUGGAACGCGCCUCCCCACAACUGGCUUGUGUCCACCUCCUCCGCGCCGGCGCUCUUGACGGCGGCGAGGAGCGCGGCGUUGCCGCGCGGGCCCAUGGAGAGGUGCGGGGCAGGGGUGAGCACGCGGUACCCGGACUCCGCCUCGGCGUCCGCCCACAGGCGGCGGGCGAGGCGCACCAUGGGUGGGUACUGCGCCUUCACGUAGGCGUCGCGGAUGAUGCGGGAGUCGCCGUGCGAGGAGCCGAGCUGGUGGAGCAGGUCGAAGCGCUCCAGGAGCAGGGUGCGCGCCCCGCGGGACGCCGCCGCGUGCGCCGCGCAGCUUCCCAUGAUGCCCGCGCCCACCACGAUGACAUCGUAGUCCAGGCGGAGGCCCGCGGCAGCGGCUGCGGCGGCGUCAUGAGCAUGAGCUUCGGCGGGGGCAGCCAUGACCACGAGGCGGCGGCGGAUGACACUCGACAGUCGACACUGGCCACUGGGUUUCCGUGUCCUUAUGCGGAUGAUUUUAUACAGAGAGAGUAGUAUUACGGGUCGAAGGCAGUGUGAAAACAGAUUCUUUGCAGAGGCCGAAGUUUGUUAUGCUCAUAAUUAUGGAUGCAAAACGAUCUAAAUGGUUAGAAAUCGAAUUUUUGGAUAAACAUGCACAAAUGGCAUGAGCAUAGACGAUUCUCAUAUUUGCACUAUGAAAAAUAUAGAGUCUUCGAUUGUCUGAUCGACCAGUGUACUAGAGGAUAAAUCUGGUGUAGUGGAUUACUUAUAUAGCGAAUAUCAGGGCAAAUUUGGAGCUGUUUACUAGAAUUAUAUUCAUUCAAAAAAAGAAUCCCUGGCCCCCCAUUUGUCGGUUCGCCAGUAAGGUGCAGAUGCGUGGAUCCAUGGCGUCUUCAGAAAUCAAAAUGCAAUUACAGAGCAGCAGGAACAACGAACUAGAGCUAGCCAACCUGUGUGUGGCCCGGGGCAAUGGUGAGCCGCUCAGAAGUCAGAAUCCACAUGGCCAACAACAAAGCAUGGCAAAACCGUAAAAGGAGCAUCAGAUUAGAGUGUCCUUUUUUUAACAAGAACAUUUAUAUUAUAUUAAAACAACAAUCAAAUUACAUAAAAGGUCCUCAAAAGAAGACCUGAUUACAACAAAAUCCUCCAUCUUCAUUUGGACCGAGAGACAGCAUUGUCACCGACAGAGAGGACAUGGACACCGGCGGAGGGUCGUAGGGGCAUCGAGACACAUACACCCAGGUGGACGGACUACACAAAGCGUCAGUUGUAGUUGGCAUGGUUGAGCCAGCAGAGUUGACAUACACUAGCGACCGAAGAAUGAAAAUGGGCCCGUCAUCGGAGGUUGAAGAUGAAGCUCGAACCAGGAUCCCAGAUGGUGGCGACGCAGGCGAACCAACACCAGAGGAGGAGUUGCCUACCUGAAGAAAGCCUAAGGACCAGAGGCUGCUAUUUGGAGAAGGAAGCGGGCGGUGGCGAUAAAAGUAGGGCUGGGUGGAGUAGAUCUCAACGGCGGCGUGAUGAUGUUGAAGUUGUGGCGGGGAUGGAGUGGAGAUCUGCUAGAGAGGAAUUUAUUUUAUUACCACGACGGCGCAGCUCCGGCGACAAUAAGACGGGCGAAAACCAUAAAGGAACACAGGUACUGAGGCUACUCGAUCUCGUAAGUGUGAAGUACUCCCCAGCAAUCGUUACAGAACGUUAGCAAGUUCAGCCUGACAAGUUAUGCGGUGAAGGCUUAGAGAUGCAGACGGAGCCAAGUUGCAAUUACAUGGCAUAAUUUUCUCCUAUUCGAUGGAUGCAGGUGCAGAUGCAGCACAACAAGACAAUUGUUAAUAUGGCAUCCGAGAAGACAAGCGCACGAGCAACCAACCAAUGACGACCAUGAGAGUCGGAAUUCUUUUUACUGACGAGGCAGGCGAGGCGAGGCAUCAUGUAUUGUAUUGGAUUGGAUGGCGAAUUGGCCCACCAACUUGUGCGUGCGGCUAGAGAGACGUUGCAGAUCAGCCAAUGCCACUCGCUGUUCUAUAUGACUAUUUUGCAUUUGAGAUUGACUCGACGACGGCAUUAUUUAUCAGAUAAGAAUGUAUAUAUGGGUUGUAUAGAUAGCAAAGUUGGAUUUAUAAAGAAAUUGCCCAUUAGGGAAUGCUUUUGCUGAUAAGCGUUACCGUUCCGGGCAAAAGGAAGGAUGAUCGAUGACCAUAUUCCCUUUUUCUUGAGCGCGAAAGAGAUUGAUUGCUACAGUACUGAUCCUAAGUCCUUUAUUUCUCAGCUUGCAUACAGACGCGAUGAAAACAAGGCUGGCUGUUUGGAAAGUUCCGUCAGAUGAAUCGCCACACAGCAACCUGCUCUCGUUUGGGCCGUGCCGCCGUGCCGAGUGGGCGAGUGGCAACCAUCGCAGCACUACAAAUAUCGGAUCUCUGGAACCGAAAGUGAUGUACAUGCAUCAUCUAGAGUAGUUGUUGACGUCUUGACGAUUGUGAAUUAGCGAUGUUCAUUCAUGUUCUCGAUAAGCUGUGUCGUGUCUGUCAAUCUUUCUUGCCUGAAUUGUGAACGAUGCCACAGAUCGUGUGCGAAUCACAUUGAGCCUCACUCCUCACUCCUCAGUCAUUACAGCUAGUUGAUUGAGAUUUGAGAACACGACUGGACUGACUGUGAGAAACAGUUGUUCAUCACUAGUACUUUUUUUACCGUACUCUUGUCCACCAACUCUUUAGAGCCCAAAACUGAACUAAGGCCUUGUUUAGUUCCGAAAACUGAAAAAUUUUCGGAACUGUAGCACUUUCGUUUUUAUUUGACAAACAUUAUCCAAUCAUGGAGUAACUAGGCUUAAAAGAUUCAUCUCGUGAUUUACAGAUAAACUGUGUAAUUAGUUUUUAUUUUCGUCUAUAUUUAAUACUCCAUACAUAUGGCGUAAGAUUCGAUGUGACGGGAAAUCUUGAAAAGAUUUUGGUUUUUAGAGUGAACUAAACAAGGCCUAAAGUCCUCUAAAGUUUUAGAGUAGGGGAUACAAACAAGCCCUUGAUCUGGCUACUAUCGAUUUCCUCUAGACUUUCCGGACUCUUCCUAGAUUGUUUUGCUGCAUUAUUAUUGGUUAUAUAUGAUUUUUUAUUUAUUUCUUUUUUUUUAAAAAAAACGGCAAUGACUGUCAUGUGUCGUCCAAGCAAGCGGCACCGCCAGCCCAUCGGAAAAUUACAUGGCCACCUCGUCUCCAUCCUUGGAGCCGCCGAUUUCAAGGCAGCUGACCGCGCCACCACUGAAAUCCGUCCCUCCCGUAAUGCCACCUACGGCCUACCGGUCAGUCGGUCACAGUCACAGCCCUCUUAAGCAAUGUCCCUUUCUUUAGCAUUGCAAAUUUGUAACCGUGUUUGGGAAGUCUAUAGUUAUUUAGUUAAUUGUUUUCUUGUCCAGUGAUCUGUAGUAGCCUAAAAGUUCAGUCUAUGUUCAGAUAGUUUCAGUACAACAGCUUGUCUUGUUUUUCAUCUUGUGCAUCAUCACUUUCAGAUGCAAAUGGUUCACUACUAAAGCAAUGGAUAGGCAUUUAUUUGAACAUUAAUUUAUUAUUUUUUUGCUUGAUCAUGUGUACACAGAUGUGUGCUCAGGUCUUGACAGUUUUGAAGCUUGUGUUAGAAGCUCUGUUAAAAUUGGCUGGGGUUUCUAUCUGUAGCUUGCAGACAAUUGGCCAUAGCUCACACUUAGACCACAAGUGUUCAGAGAGUUUUCUCGCGCUAUUUUAAGGUUGCCAAAAGUUUGCUUCUGUGUUGUUUUGAAAUAGGCCUAAUCACACGAGCCAUGUGUUGGCUUGUGUGAAUUUAACGAAAAUAAGUGCAUUAGAGCAAAUAAUUUUAUAGGUUCCCUCUCUCUCUCUCUCUCUCUCUCUCUCUCUCUCUCUCUCUCCUCAUUUGUUGAAUCCUUCAUAUUCUGAUUAUAGAAGAAAAAGCAUAAGCAUUGAGGCUACGUAUAGGAUUCUUCAUCAUUCCAAGCCUUUAAAUUGGGAAAAAGCUGCAGAUAAAAAUGCUAUUACCUGUCCAAAUUAGCAGUAUUAGAAAAAGAGGGAGCAAACAACGUAUCUCAUCUUGGCCAGUUGUCGCGCAAUGGAGAGUGCACCACUACACCACAACUGCGCAAUUGUGUUGCACCAUUGUCUACUCUAGAGAGAUCCAUUGUAUUGCAACGGUGUAUACAGUACAAAAACUACAAUAGUGGUUGCAUGGUCUUCACAGCCUCUCUACCGCUGCACCUGGCUUUUCAAGCGCAAUUCAUAUGUUUCUAUGAAUUGAUUUUUUUUUUCCAGCUUCCUGCCACACUCGUUACAGUUCGUUGGAUACUGUAUGCACUUUGCUAUGAGCUUGAAUUGGCCUGGUUGUCUGAAAUAUAAAAAUAAUUUACAUCCCCAUAAAUUGGUACCAUGGAACAUGGAUAUAUGGUAGAUCCGUUCAGAGGCGAAUCCUGCAUGAUGUUGCCAAUAGCAUUGGUGAUUGGUUCUAACUUCAAUGUUUCAAAAAAAAAAUAGUUUGGUUCCGUUCAUUUAAGCUUAUCUGCCAAAUUUGUCCGCUAUUCAACAAUAUUUUUCUCUUACAAUAAAUCAGCAAACAAUAUUUUCUGUUUGCCACGGCUUUUCUGCCAACUUGCAUUAUUUCUCUCCACCACAAUUUUUCACUGAGGCCUUGUUUAGUUCCGAAAAGAUUUCGGAUUUCGGUACUGUAGCACUUUCGUUUGUUUGUGGUAAAUAUUAUCUAAUCAUAGACUAACUAGGCUCAAAAGAUUCAUCUCGCGAUUUACAGACAAAUUGUGUAAUUAGUUUUUAUUUUCAUCUAUAUCUAAUGCGUCAUGUAUGUGCCCAAAGAUUCGAUGUGACAGGAAAUCUUGAAAAGUUUUUGGAUUUCGAGGUGAACUAAACAAGACCUGAAAAGAUCUUGAGGAAAGUACUGGCACUCAUGGUUGAGUACUUAGAGAUUCCAGCAUUGAAGUCCCGUGAUAUUGCAAAAUCGACGCUUACACAACACAUACCAUAUCCAUGAACGACCUUACUAAUCCUCCUUGGAGGCAUUCCCCAAGGGGUUACUCUCGAACCGGUUGAUCCUGAAGUGACCGAGCUCCACGCCGGCCUCCGCCGCAGUCCUCGUCUCGCCGUCCAAAGCCAUCUCUGCCAGGAUCAUCCCUACCGCCGGACCCAUCUUGAAGCCAUGCCCGGAAAACCCAGCCCCGACCACCACGUCCUGCCCGAACUCCCCGCCGAGGAAGUCGAUCACGAAGUCCUCGUCUGGCGUCAUGGAGUACAUGCACGCCAGCCGGUCGACCGGCCCGCCCGCGGUCUCCACGUGUCCAGGCAUGAACUCGUCAAUCCAGCGGGCCACCCGCUCCACGACGUCGCCGCCGCCAGAGACCAGGUCCGGGUCGCACGGUGGUCCGCCGUGAUAGUUGAUCUUGAUCAUGCCCGGGCGCUCCAGCGACGGCAUACUGUACACGUACAGCGGGUCGCAGUAGCUCGAGAACGUGGGGAAGCCGGACUCCGCCGUCAGCUCUCCCUCUCGGCCGGGCUCGAUGCGCCAGUACAGGACCAGCGUGUGCAGCGGCUGGAUGGGGAGCGGGAGCUCCACACCGGCGGCGGACUUGAUGAGCCUGCUGGUCCACGCGCCCACCGUGACGACGCACUUCGCGCUGUGGAACUCCUCGCCGGUGCUCGUCCUCACCGCGAUGCCUCCCUCCGGUCUCUUCAGGAUCUCGACGACCUCCGCGUUGUCCCUCACCAUAGCACCCUUGUGGACGGCGAGAUCCUGGAACAUUUUGACAGCCUCGGUCGUGUGCAGCACGCCGGAGCCGUGGUCGCUCACCGCGGCAACCCACCCAUCAGGGAGCCGGAACGCGCCUCCCCACCUCGCGGACACAUCGUCCACCUCCUCCGCACCGGCGUUUCUGGCGGCGGCGAGGACCGAGGCGUUGCUGCGCGGGCCCAUCAAGAGCAGCGGAAUCGCGGUGAGUACGCGGUGGCCGGACUCGGCCUCAGCGUCCGCCCAGAGGCGGCCGGGGAGGCGCACCAUCGGCGGGUACCACGCGUCCGGGUAGGCGUCGCGGAAGGUGCGCGACUCGCCGUGCGAGGAGCCCAGGCCGUGCAGCAGGUCGAAGCGCUCCAGGAGCAAGACGCGCGCGCCUCGGGACGCCGCCGCGUGUGCCGUGCAGCUACCCAUGAUGCCGGCGCCCAGGACUAUCAAGUCGAAGUCGAAACAGCGGGCAGCGGCGGCGGCCACGGGAGGUGUGGGAUUGUCCAUGAUUCUCAGAUUUUGGCCAGGAAGAGAAGGCCGGAGGCGGCGGCGGCGGCGGCGGCGACGGCUCUGACUUGGGGGCGUCGGCGUGCGUGCAGUCGCUCUGCCACUGUAGCAUCCACCCUUCGGCGUAUAUCCAACGAUUGCGCCUUUGCGGGCCUUCGAGCAGCACAAGUUGGCCCAACAGCGUGGAGGCUGGAAACGCAGCUUCUAACGACGCUCCCAACCUAGAAACUACAUAGACCUAUUAAUUUUUAUAGAUAAUAUAUAUAGAAACUAUAGUUCCAAUGGACAGUUUCUAUAGAAUAUCUUUUUAUCUAAUCAUAUUCAUUCUCUUUCUAUUCUUAACCAAUCAUAUCACUUCAUGUCUUCGAUUUUGUGUAGACAUAGUUUCUAACUUAGACCCAGUUUUUAUGAUUUUUACUCUCUCUCUUCAAUAACUACAAUACCACAUCAGCAAUAUGCUUAGGUGACACUACAAUUAAUGUCUACUAGUAUAUUGCCCGUGCUAAUACCACGGUUAGAUCUAGAAAAAAUCUUUAAACUAAAAUAAAUAGUCUCUUCAUGCUCUUCUGGUUUCGACGAGCGGUAAAACAUAUGUACCCUUUGGACUUCAAAACUAACUACUAAAGCCCUCAUUGUCAUAAUCUUCUAGUAAAACCAUAAAGUUUCAGCACCAAUUGAUCCAUAUAAGAUGUAAAGAUCUUAUAACAUUAAUAAAUCUCCAAUAGAAACAUUGAUAAUCACAUAUUUUUUAAAACAAACAGAAUACAAUAUACAAUAAAAAAAUUUGAGAAUACAAAGAGCAAACUAAUAUAAAGGAAAAUAUUGGGAAAGAAAUAAAGUGCAACGUUAAGAAAAUAUCCCAUCAGAUGCACAUGGAGAUCAAACCAUGUUGGAACUGGCACCGCGACCACAACAGGCGGUGCAUUAUCUGUGCCCAACGGUAAACAUUUUGUUAUUAUAUUGUAAAACAUACCUUAAUUUCAAUAUUCUCUACUAAUAUAUAUAUAUAUAUGUCUAGCAUACAGACAUUGCUAAUAUGAAGAGGGAUGAAAGGAGUGCACAACAACGGAAACAAAGAGCUAAGUUGACCGAUGAACAAAGGGAAGCGAAUAAAAGGAGUCAACGAGAGUACCAACGUCAGUACCGAGCACGGAAGAAGGUUAGUAUGCAAAAUAUUAGCACAGCAGGUGAGAAUAUCUAUAGCUUAUGCAUUUCCUUAUCUAUGUGAGAUAUCUUGAACCGUUGUUCAUCUAAGUCUUAUAAUUGUAUAAUUCAUCAAUCUCUACUCUAAUAUAUACAAUUGUAUAAUUAAUCAAAAAAUUAUAAAUUUUGCAAACUGGAAAGUCCAUGACUCACUUUGGACGAGAUCCGCGAUGUUGUGACAAGCUAGACAACAAAAACACUCGCAAAAGUACUUGAGUGUUGGCCUGAUAUGGAGUACAAAAUUAAAGAUUGCUGCAAUGUAAGAUAUGUUCAUUGUACUCCUUUAAAAACUUAUUAUAUUUUAUUUAUCAGUUAUAGUUUGUGUAUUUUUUUAGAUUCUACUACCAUAUUAUCGAGAUGGCCUAUACACUUUAUUCAUAAUGAACAUGCAAAACAAAACUGUGCAAAACAAAAUUCAGAGAGCAGAUAAAAAAUCAUGUUUACACCAAUAACAAAAGAAAUUUAUGCUGACAUAAUCAAUGUAAAAAUUAAUUACAAUAUGAGACUCUAAGAGAAAGACAUGACUUAAAAUAACACAUGAACAAGAAAAACAUGCUGACUGGAUAAUUCUCUAAACACCAAGCGUGGACAUUUAUCUGCAUUUUACUUGAAAUCUAGACAAUGAACAAAGCGGAUUUCUAACAUAGAAGCAAAGAAGAAAGGAAAGGACCAGAUCAAAUGAGAGAUGGAUCCGAUGGCCACAAAUCCAGGUGACAAAAAAGAAAAAAUUACCCAGACUACAUACAGAUUUACCGUAUUAAAUAGACUUUCAAGUUCCAUCCAUUCUUAGAGAGUGCUACCAUAUCCAUAGAAAAUAACUGGACUAAAUUCUCCUGCUAAGCGAAGAUAAGGCAUCCUAUUGAAUCUCCCGAAGAGGCCCGUUGAAGAAGACAUGCUUCCCAAAUCUCAUACACGGAGCUAUAGCCCCACUAGUGCAAUGUCAACAGCUACCCUGACCAGAAGGUGAGCAGCGUACAACUCAAACUCUGCCCAGAAAUCCUCUUCCAUCUUCUGCAUCUCUGCAAAUGAGUCGAUUACAAUUUGCAUUGAACCGGGAACGCAAUUACCAACAAGGCAACAACUCUAGAGCAGAUGAGACACAGAUUUGAAUCGUUGGCGCCCAUGCAUGGGCAUGGUUCUGGUUCAUGCCAGAUGGGAAGAGGAUCGAAGCUGUCACUGUGAACCCUCAUGCUCCAGACCCUCUCCGCAAGCACCGGCGCCAAUUGAGCCCGCAACUUUCUUUCAAAAAAUACAGCCCGUAGGUCCGCAACCGGUACAGGCUCAUGCUGUAUCCACUUCAUCUCCGCCGGCACAAGCGCCGAUGCAGCCCAUGACCAUGGCGGGGCCCGCGUGCCCAUCCUCAUCGACCCCAGUAUAGUUGAAAACGGACGGAAACGAACGGAAAAUCGCUCUACUGUUUUCAUUUUUAUAUUUUUAGACGAAAACGGGAGCGGAAGCCGGAUAGCCGGGAGCGAAAACGGUAGCGGGAUAAACGGUAAUACGAAAACGGGUAAAUACGAUCGAAAAAUAAACGGAAACGAGCGGUAAACGAAAAUUAAGCCGGAACAUGUAAGCCGCAUAUGAGAGCUCAAAUAUGAAUUAUCCAUACAUCACAUGCUCAUAAGUCACAAGUUUAUAACAAAAUACAACAAGUGUUCACAAAUAGAGAUUGAAGUAGUCCACCAGUGCUCAUACAACAUGUUUAUUUAAUGGUUCACCAACAGCGGAAAGCACACACAACACUACGACACAUCAGUUUUUCACAGCACACCAUCUUCAUUCAUUGCAACCGGAACUGGAGCAACCACGGUCUUCAUUCAAGGCGAAGAUAGCUCGACAGGCCCAGGUGCUUUUCAGGUGGCUUGGAGCAACCACGGUCUUCUCCUCCAGCCCGCGACAUCAGCCAGCAGCUCGCGGUCGUGCUCUGCGGUGCUCUGCAGCUCGCGAACGACCAAGCUCGCGGUGCUCUGCGCGUCUACGCGUGGGCGCGUGUGCCUGUGCUGUGCCUCCCUCGAUGCAACGCCGCGGCCAGGGGAUGGGAGGAGGACUGGUCACCGGUGCAGGCGAGCAGCAGGCGCGCGGCAAGGGAACGGGAGGGAGGCCUGGACGCGGGACGCCUGGUGGUGCAGGUGCGGCGGGCGGCGGCCGACUGCUGCGACCUGCGAGAAGGGAGCGGAGCGGGCGAGCGGCGGCCAGGGGAGUCGACUGGGGUGCUCACUGCUCAGGACUCAGGAGGAUUGAACAGAUAGGGUUUGGUAUUUUGGGCUGUAUUGGGCUCAUGGGCUAUGCUGGGCUAGUUUUCCGGUUUUAUUACAAACGGGAUAAAAACGGGAUAUCCCGGUUAAAUACGGUAUUCCGUAAAUACGGACGGAAAAAUGCGUUACCGUUUUCGAUCCCGCUCCCGUUUCACUCCAUCCCGUUUUCGGUCCCGUUUCCGUUUAUCCCGUAAAAAACGAAAACGAACGGAAAAAUACGGUAUACGGAAGCGGACGGAACGGGAUUUCUCACGUCCGUUUUCAACUUUAGACCCCAGCUUUGGCCGACCAGUCACGGUUCUCAGCCAGUCGGUAGGAUCUUUGGCGUCCGACGCGGACUUCACUGCGUCCCGCUCGUUGGCGGCGUCGGCGUAGGUUUGUGCACGAUCAUAUGUCUAGUUUUUUUUUGUUUUAUUUUUUGGAGGUAGCAGGGUUCGAACCUGAGCAUUGGCAGGUGGAUUUGGGCAUUUUCGGAGGCCGCAGAGGCUGCACGUUGAAGCCUGGGGAUGCAGUGCGUUGAAGCCUGGGAUUUGAUACAAACAACUGUGGCCAUAGGAUUGGGUUGAAGCCUCUCAUGGAUGAUUUGUAGCCUUUGAUUUUAAUAAAAACAAUUUGUUAUGUGCAUUUUUUUGGGUACACAAAGAUUAAAUGUUCUCACUGGGGACACUUUCUUUGGUGAACCUAGUAUAAUUUUGAUUGGUCCAUUAUAGUAGAGAUAGAAACUACGAUGGUUUCUGUAUUAAGAGUGCCCUAAUAUUGUGUUGUGGCCCACAUCCACAUGAAUGAGCCGGGUGACAGAGAAAUCUACCCACGUAUAUUCAGUUACCAUUUUAUGUCCCUCUGUCUCUUUAUAACUUCUAUUUCAAAUUUUACUUGGACAUUUCUUUGGGAGGAUUAGGUGUAUGGCCCUAGAAAAAACAGACAAAAAGCUAAAGCCGAAUAAAUUUUGUUUUGAGGCCAUAGAGCCAAAUUCAAAAAAAAGAGAGUCAUAUACCUAAGACAAAAUUUUUCCAAGGUCAUACACCUAAUUCUCUCCAUUUCUUUUGUUAUGUUGGUAAUUUUUAGUAUAAACUCACAACAUUUUUCUUGUUAAGCUAUAAUGUUUUUCUCAAAGUCUAGAACAAUUUUUUGAGCAGAGAGUUUCUUCGUCCUUCAUAACUUAUAAUCCUUCAAUAGGGAUCCGACAGACCUAAUCUCUCUCAUGUCCGUAUAAGUUAGAGUAUCAUGUCUAAGCAUGGUAUUAGAGUCUAAUCCCAAAACAAAUUGAAAUAUAACAUUUUCAUGGUCUGCCACUCAAUAAUGUGCGUGUACAAGGUUUACCCAUGACGAGGAAUCUAGCUCCAUAACCAAUUGCAAAGCAUGACAUAACCAUUGAUAAAUCUCUAGAGACAAAUUAAAAUGCAUGACAUAAUCACUGAAUAAAUUUCUAAACUGUAUGGCAUACAAGUGGGCGUGCAACAUGUUGAACGUUCCUUGUAGGAAAACACAAAGAACACCUGUAAUCAAUUCCAGCAUUAACAGCUGCGUCUAAGUGCUGCUAUGCAUUAGAUACAUAUAUGUAUCUAGAAAAGCUAGAACAACUUACAAUUUGAAACAACGAGAGUACCUGACUGAUGCCUAGUAAAGAUCACAGACAACUCAAAAUGAAGAACGAUAGACUAGCACUAACUGCAUGUUAACAAAUGUACCAACAAACAAGAAGACACAUAUGUUCUUAGCACAUUGCCAUAUUCGUUACUCUUUUUCAUUGAUAAAUUCAUAGAAAAUUCUCGCCCAGAAACUAGAGAAUUACAACCAGAAAACAUCUGUGUGCCCACUAAAACAAAAAAUCACCGGUAACCAGUUGCCUGCUCUAUUAGCGAACAACAAAGACAGGCUAUCCGUUAACUGUUGCUGGUAGUGAAGGAACACUACAACAUACACACUUCACCACUUACAACGGUGAUGGCUCUUUUGCUCCCCAAAGUUACUGUCACCAACGAUUCUCAUUUUGUUCAUAUCUGCAAAGGACGGGAAAAGAACCAUCAGCAAAGCUAGGAGCACACAGAUAAAGAGCAUACAUUGCAACAUAAGAAUACCAUCCAAGAACAGUUUCCGGAAGUGGUAGCUGCAGGAAAUCAAUACUAGGGCCACGAGUUCAUGAUGGAAUAAUCACAGUUCACCAAACAACCACCAGUUUUAGUAAUAAAAACUAUCUUCAAUAAAUUGAGUGCAGCAAACAUAAAGACUGCCCAUCCAUCAAGUUCACACAGAAUAGAACCACUUGAUGGUAAUGAAGUUAACGUAUGACAAGUUAAUCUUUGCAAAAGGACAAUAUUUCUAAUUCUGAAAAUAUGGUAAAAAAGACACCCCUUAAAUCCUAAAUCAAGAACUAAUGUGUCAGCAUUGCUGUUUUGCUAGGUGUAGACAACACCCAUCAGACAAAGAGUCGUUGCCGGACAGACUAUAGAACUCUCUUCGCGUGGGCUACAGACCAAGAGGCUGCAGCAGGCCACUAUAAGGAACCCGUGAGUCUAUGGGCCGGACUGGAAGAACCCUUAAGGAGCCAUCAUCGAAUAGCUUAGCCUUUUCCAUAUAUAUAUAUAUAUAUAUAUAUAUAUAUAUAUAUAUAUAUAUAAGAUAGGAUAUGAAAUCUUGUAACAAACUAUCUUUGAACUCUAAUAGCAGACCUCGUCUUACAUAGCCUCUUCCUACUAUUCUUUCCCUAUUCCGAAUUUAUGAUUCCAUGCUAUCAUGCCUAACAUAAUGUACCUAUUUUUAUUUUUUAAUUCCUACUCUAUUGUACAAGCACAUUGAGUUACAAAGCUAUAUGCAAUAAGAUAUUAGACAUGCAUGGAACACCAAUAUUUGACAUUGUAAAAAAAAGGUGUUACAGCUACCCUUCCAAGUCUGGAGGUACUACAGUUGUAUAGCAAUAGCCAGUACACUCAUGGGUAAUGCUACCUCAUAACGUUGGGCUGCACAAUAUCAUAUCAAAAUCACAUAUAUGAGGACCUGGCCUAUGCACAGUUGUGGAAGAGUUGCUCCUUACUUGUUUCCUCAAAAUAAACUAGGAACACAUGGAAAAUUAAAUAUGUUACCUGAAAGGGAGGUCAAAUUUGAUUGUUAUGGCUUCCAAAUGUAAACAAGAUGUGGCAUUAUCGUUCACUUGGCAAUCAAGAACUAGCUAAGCUAGCGAACAAUGGAUCAGAAACAUAGUAAAGGGGAGGCUAAAUAAUGAAAGGCCAACAAUCUUAGUAGCAUUAAACCAAAUAGUAUAAUAGAUGUAACAAGGAACAAAACCAAUAUUAAUCUAAAAUGAUCAAGCAACAUUUAUUAGAACACCUUUGUGGGUAGGAAAAUACCAAAACGAUUUAAUGCAACCUCAGUUACUCGAUGCAUGAAAUUGCUCUCUUAUCGACUUCCCAGAAUUUAUUCCAUUCUAGAACAUAUUUGAACAAAUCUUGCUAAGAAAAUUGAAGACUCGAGGAACAUUCCCAAACCCCUAACACCGCACAAGGGAGAGAAGUUGCAGCUCCCAAGCCAAAAAUUCUAGAGCUCCUAAUUCCUAGAAUGAAACAACAGAAUAACUUGGAAGUGAGUAGCAGAACCUCGCCGCAGAUAAUAAAAGGAUAUGCUGGAGCCCUAAGCCCUUGUCCUAUGACAACAUGUCAAAGCCAGUGCAUGUGACUUGAAGGCUGUAGCCAUGGGCAAAGGCAGGUAUUUAGAAAGCUUUGGUAGCUGCAAUACCUACAGUUUGUACAAAAUACAAAAUAUAUGUAUUAUAUACUAGUAAAUAUACAUGAAAUACAUAUGUCAAUAUGUUAUACAAGUUAUAUUUGGUUCUUAUAAAUCCCGCCACACCUAAAAGUAUUCCUGCCUCUGCCACUAGCUGUAGCUGAAAGCCAGAGGCCUCAUUGGGGCCUUAUCAUUGUGGUUCUAUCUGUAGGGCGAUAUGGUGCCUCACCUAGCGGUAUCUCACUGGGUGGGAUCUAUGAGCAAGGGCACUACUGGCCACAACACGAAAAAAGAAGCGCCUACAAUGGUCAAGACAAAUCAAAGCACCAAGAGUUGACAUAAGCCUUUAUCUCGACAAACUAAGCUAGGGCUGGGCCUCCUUCGAUGGCCUAACACUACAUAGGUAUAUUAAGUUCUGCUUUGACUCGACCCGAGCUACAGCCACCCCCACCACACACACAGAACCAUCCCCAACCCAGGACCUAUAGUCACCCCUGAAGCUGCCUCCCUUCCUCAGCCAUGUGCUUGGACUUUGCUGUGCUACCACCAUAGCACCACCCGAGCCGGUGGUCUAGACUUCAAACCACAAAAUUUUAGACAAUUAACCUAUCAGAUCUUUGGCGUGUGCAAUAACUAGGUCCAUUUCUUUUGAAAGUUUCAUGGUUUAGCAGUCUCAGCAAAGGUUGUGUUUCCAAAACUAAAUAAGUGGACAAAUAAAACAAAUGGAUCCAUGAGGAUUCAAACUGAAACAUGAAACCAGACUUUAUGACAUACUAUUCUUUCAGAUGAAUCUACCAUGAACAAUACUUACCCUAAGCCCAUUCGCUAAAUGUUAAAUGCAAAAAAAUAGUAGAUGAUAUGUUGAACUUUAAAAUGUAAAUGAGAUUCCAUGUAUACCAAAGCUAAAUCUUGAAAUAAAUGGAAACAUUAUAAAAAGGUAUCAACAAAAAGACACCAAAGAUAAGAAAGCCGUAUUAAAAUUAAACAUAUUGCAAAACAAAAUAUUUGGUCAUAAGGAAUUCGUGCUACUAGUUCGAAACAGGGUCAUCUUUGACCUAAUUACAAUUGCAGUACAACAGGAUUAAUCUCAAGUAUUUUGACGAAAAUGGGAAAAAAUGAGCAUGUUAAGGACAUAAAAUGUACAAUCUAGACUAAACAAGAAAUCAUGUUUGGACAUUCAUUGUGAUUUGUUUACAUAAGUACUAUCUGAAGCUCAUAGAUCUCAUCUAAAAAUUGAAAUAGCUAGAAUAUAAAAGAAGUCUAGCAAUACUACACAUGUACUCACGUGCAGGCAUAUAGAAACCAUGUCCCACAACAGACCAAAUCAUCACAAGUAACAUUAUACUUCCUCCAUUGUAACUAUAAGUCAUUUGUAAGUUUGUCCCAAGUCAAACUUUUUAGCUUUGACCAUCCAUAGCUAACAACAAAAACAACAAAGCCUUUUAGUCCCAAGCAAGUUGGGGUAGGCUAGAGUUGAAACCCAACAUGAGCCCCUAGUUCACAUGAUAUGUACUCACUAUGUCCUAGAAUGAUAGGCAUAUUUUGUACAGCGAAGAAACAAAAUUUUACAAACUUUGAUCAACAAUUGGUCGCGUUAUAUACAAGUUUAGGACAUAAAUUUGCAUUAAUAUAUUUCAAAAAGUGCCACUAAGAUGAUAUUGAUUCUUUAGCAAAUGACAACAUAGUGUAAGAGAAAUUAAGGGUCAACAUCUAUUUUGUAUGACAUUUGCCUUAUCAAAAUACGCUUAUCAUUCUGGGAUAGAGGUAGUAACUCUUUAUAUUUGAAACAACAUUUUUAUAGAUACUUAUAGACUUAUAGUCAAAGUUCCAUCUUGUAGGCCACAUCAAUUUCAUGAGUAACAAAUACUAAUUGGCAGAGUCAUUUUGUUAGCCAUACCACUAGAAGCAUAUUGUAUGGAUAAAUAAAUGCAUUUCCCCUAAAAAUUGUUUUGACCAACUAAUUCACUACAAAUAUUAAUGGUCAAACAUCAACAACAACGAACAAGAUUUACGAAACAUUACGAGAACCACCAACAGAGGAGCUUGAUGACCUAUAGUCAUUUGAUUCUAAAUAAGAAAUAUCCAUCAACACCAGAAUAUCAAUAUACAAAGUUAACAAACUAACUUGUUUCAACCAAAUAUACUAAAUCAAAGAAAUGCACACAGCAAUACUACAAAUACUAAAAGCUAAAACUAGUGACUAUCCAAAGAAUUGAAUUCAAGGACGCUCAUCACCUCCAAUAACCCUACCCCACAACAACUGCUGCCUCUCAUCCUCCUCUUCCUCUUCGUCAAUCUCAUCCCCGUAUCCCAGCUCCACGUCGCCACGGUACCCAAGUUCACUCCCUUACCUAGACUUGACAACUGUCGCCUCCAUGCCAUGCCUACCCCACCGCUCGCGGCACCAAUCCCACCAACAGGAGCCGGGCCGAGCUAUGUCGCAAUCGGCACGUCCCUCAUCCGCACCUCCCUGACAUUGGACGCCCACAUCUCGCUAGAGUCACUGGUGCCGCUGCCACUAGCGCCACACAUGAAAGGGAAAUUGGAACACGUGUCGGAUCUCCGACGGUCGCUGUUGUGGCUGGACACUGAUCGCGAUCACGUACCACGAUAGUGGCACUUGCGGAGCCCGAGCCACUAGAAGGAUCUGUCUUUACCGCCCCGAGGGGGCAUGCGUCGGAGUCUCCACAUUAGGGAGGUGCGCCGAGGAGGGGGGAGCGGUCCGAGAGACAGGGCUUCUUGUGGAAGGGAUGCUAGGAGGUGAUGGCCUCGAUGAGGGGGAGGUGCGGUGGGUGGUGCCACAGCUGUAGGGUUGAAAGCAUCUAGGCCUCUAAUGGGUUUUGGUGAUUAAUGACAAUGUUGAUUACUAUGACUAACAUGUGUUUUGCAGAGGAAAAAUCAUUUGAGUUAGGUCAUUAUUGACGGUCCUUAAGUACCAAAUAUAAGCAUCAAAUAAAUAAAGAAAAGGAUCCAAAUGCAACUAACACCCAGACUUAGGGUUUUAUCUGACAGAAUUCCACAAGUUUUGGUGUUUGUCUAUUUUCUGCAAGGAGUUAUCAGGAAAUAUGGAGGAAAGGCCCACACGUCGGGUUUACAUAGAGAUAUCGACAUACCGCGCAAUUAUCUUACAUCUAGAAGACUCCAGAAGCCACGGGAAGAAAGCGGAGGCCGAACGGAGCCAGGCACUAGGCGCCCGCCCAGUUGACCUGGGGGCCCGCCCCCCUGCAGAGUUGGAUCAGGACUCUCUUUCGGGACCAAGCUCCACCGACCUAAAGGAUCAAGGAUAACCGUCCAAUCAAUGUCGGUUUGAUCCAACGGCCCACGUUCACUUGAGGGGACUAUAAAACCAGACCCCCUGACCCCUGGAGGAGACAAGUUCAUCAUAGAGUUGAGAGGAGCCCUCGAAGGAAUACCUCUCCUCUAAAUAAAUAUUUAUUUUAGGCUUAGCAUCCAAUGUGAGUAGAAAUAGAUCUUCUAGUUUCUACUAGAUUGAGAGAUAUAGAGUGGAGGUGUAGAUUGGAGGAAGCCCGACCUGUCGGUCCGAGGUUGUACCUGCAGGAUCAAGUCUUCUAACCCAAGGCUUGCUCCUAGGAUUCUUUAGUAAUUCUACUUCUAAUUCUAGUAAGUUCUUGUUUUAUUGUUCUUUGGUUUAUGAGUUUACUUUAAUCUCUUCCGGUUGAGUAUUAGAGUAUUCAUUGCUAGUGUAAACGUGGUGUUUAGGCUAGGGUACUCAUAGAUAUCCCCUGACAACCUGGACCGUGGUAGUAGCGAGGAACGUGACAUUUUCGAGUUACUUUUGCAGCCCACAUCUUGUUAGCAGGACGGGUAGGUUUAUAGGUGCGGGUCGAACAUCCUUUGUGGUGUCUAGAUUUCGUAAGCUUCCCCAAUAGAACAGUAGAUCAUCCUUACCAAGGUUAGAACAAGACUACGGUUGCAGUCUUCUCUAUACAUCACUCACAUCGAGAAACAUUCUUUGUAGCCUAAAGGGGUAGUAGCAAUAGAUUUGGUUAGUCAGAUGCACCCUUUCUCCCAGUGGUAAAAAUAUAAAUACGAUACUCUAGAUAACCUCCCGGGUGAAAUGCUCACCGAUAUCCAUGCGCUCGCGGAUCAUUUUCUGAUUGCGUUACCAAAUAUCAACAGUCAUGGUAAUGGUGAUCAAUGGACUAGGACAUUCAUACCGACUUAAUGGUGGAAAUCGUUUCGGUUUUCAAAGGAUUGUUGGACAUCGUCAAGACUAGACUAGGUCUAAGUGCCAUUUGGAGUUGAAGAGCACUUAGAGUAGUUUAGGACUUUUUUCCUUUAACGUACUAUUAAGGGGGCAUUGAACGGUUAGCUUGACCUAGACAAGGCUUUAGGUUUAGGUGUAGUGCACACUUGAUAAAUCUAGCACUAGGCAGCUUAGAUGAAGUCCUUAGAUCGAGAGAAUUAAACUUUGUUUUGGAAAGUUCAUGAUUCAACGAAGUUUAGGUUGUUUUGGAGCACCACACGCUGGCACCAGACACCAUAGUGUUACUAUUGGCACUUCCGGUGUAUGCUGGAGUUGAGCCAGUGCGCCGAGUGCCUAGGGUUUGUUGACGGUCGAUAACGUAAACUUCUAGUAUAACUUUAAACCUGAAGGAGAACAUAAAUACACACUAGUAUAUGGUUUAAACUAACAAUUUCACAAGUUUUCUAUAUUUUGUAUUUUCUAAGGUGAAUUUCAGGAAAGCUAAAAAAGAGGGACUCUAGUGCAAAACAAACACGGAAAUGUAUCCGCCACGGGAAACGUCGUGAGAAGACUCAGGAAGGAUCGAGAAGUCACCCAGAGCAACGGGGGGCCUGGCGGCUGCCAGUUGGGGCCGGCCGGCCCCACCUUAGCGCCGGCCGGUGCCCCCCUUUAGGGUUUCGCCCCCCUCUUCUAGAAGCUUCCUCCACCGCCUUUGAUGAGUCAUCUCGGCCCUUGGUUAAGUCGGUUUGAUCCUACGGCGCACGUGAAUCCCACCGGACUAUAAAUACGUGCGUAGACCCCCUGAAGAGAGCCACUUCAUUAUUCAUCAAGGCCUGAAGCCAUCAAGCAUCAAGCGCUUUUAAGUUCAUCAAGAGCCUUCUAGUUCAUAGUUCUAGUUAGUUAGAUUAUAAGUAGAGGAGAUCUAGUUCUUCAUCGGGAUCUAGAGCCUCUAGCAUUGGUCUGGAGCGCAAGAGUUCGGUAAUAGAUCUAGUUCUUACUUUAUAGUAUUCAAUUGUAUAUUAGGGAGACUUUAUUUUUAAUAGAUUCAUAUGUUCUUAAUUACAUUAGUCAUUGUCUACUUUGAUUAUAUGUCUAGGAUAGUUGGUUUGAUCUUAUUGAAUUCAUGUAAUUGCUCGUAUAGCGUUUACCUAAUCGAUCGUUGGGUAGAUGAUAGACAAUAUAUAGACGUGGUGUCUAGAUACCUUAUUUGUCUGCGAGUGCCCCAUGACAUGUCGGGUCGUGUGGUAGUCUACGUAGGUGACAGCUGCGUUGGUUCCUCUGUAGUCCACCCUCCGUACGUAGGGCUAGCAUGAGCGCGGCCGCGAAAGAGGUGACGGUUGCGUCUUAAAACCCUCAUUAGUUGAUGUCUCUUUACAUGUAAUUAUGAUAUAGGGUUUACUUAAUGAUGAUUUCUGGAUGUAAUUGCACUAAUUAGAGUUAUUCAUUGGCGUAGUUAUACUUAGAUUCAACUCCCUAGUUUAUCCAUUGGCUAACUAUUAUUAUGACUAGUAGAUGCUCUGAUGAUUAUCCUUAUUUAUGAUACUUGAUGAUUAUGCUAUUACUAUUAUUUAUCUAUAUUUAUCUUGUGACCUCUGCCUGUUAUGAGUAGAUAUUAUAGGACUUGGGUAAUAUUAUUCAUCCUAUAAUAGAUGUAGUUUAACUCUUAGCCUUCCCAGUGGUAUAAAUAUAAAUUGAAAACCUGGAUACUUCUCUAGGUAAAAUGCUACAACGGUAUAAUUAUUUGUCCGCUUGUAGAACCCAUUUAGUUUAUAAUUAUAUUCAUAAUUGUUAUUCUCUGUCUUUACAGUAGAACAUGUGAAUCUAAAUUAAAUUCCUAGCAAUAUAAUUAGGGAUGACAACCUACUUUAUGCUUAGGAAUGUUUGAGUGGUUAGUUGCUAUUUGACAAAUUAAUUAAAUACCAUGUAUUUCUAGUGUUGUUACUAGGAGUAGGGUUUAUCUCUAUUUUUAGUGAUGAUGAUAGUAAAUGUCAACAGGGUUAGGCACCAGACGCACGCACCGGACCCUACGGGGUGCGUCCGGUUCCUUACCAGAGAAGUUGUUUUCUUGGUUUCUCACCGGACGAGUCACGCUUGAGGUCACCGGACGAUCGCUGAGCAUCCGGUGUGAGCAGUUCGACCAAGUACAACUAGUCGUUGGGGUUGCACCGGACACUCUGCGGAGUGCGUCUGGUGCAAUAUCAAGCGUGUCCGGUGCACUUGUUUUUUUGUGGAAUUCGAGUGGUCGGCCCUUGGAUUUGAUGGGAAGUAUUUAUACUCCCCCAUCUUAUCUAUGAGAGUUCUCUUGCCCAUUUGAUCAGCUGAGAAACACCUUGUGGUGCAAAGAGAAGCAAGAACCUAGAGAGGUUUGAGAAUUGAGUGAUUUUUUGAGUGAAUCCUUCUCUAGUGAGUUCCUAGAGUUCAAGUGUGCAUCCACCACUCUCUAGAGUCUUGUUUGGGUCAAUGAGAGUUCUUUUCUUGUUACUCUUGGUGAUCACCAUUACCUAGACGGUUUGGUGGUGAUUGGAGGCACAAAGACCGCCCAGAGUUCUUUUGUGGGUGGCUCGUGUGAAGCUUGUGAGUGGUUGUGGGAGAUUCACCACGAUGGAGUGUCGAAAAAUCAGCUUGUAGAGAGUACUUGGUCCUUGCGCGGAAGCACCACAUCCCCCCGAAUGUCAUAUGUGUGGCCCUGCCUGAGCUCCACACCACAUCGCCCCUCACCUCAUCUGCCACCGGCGCCCCACGCGAGUGGGGGCGUGUGCCCAAUGUGGCAGUUGCUCAACAUCGACCCGCCCCGUUCUCCUCUUGCUGACCUAGGGGACAAAUCCGCCUCAGACGGUGCUAGAACCCACCAAAGCGGCAGUGGAUAGGGAGAAGCCACUAUUCUCAAGUUUUCUAUGCAUACAUUUCAUAUGAAAAUAUGAUUUCAGGAGCUUCUAUGGUGAAGCUAGAAAACAGUUUCAUAAACCGUCCAAAAGUCCCUACCAAUUACCAAAGGGCCUUCAUUCCAAAUUAUAAAUUAUUUCGAUAAUAUUGAAGAGUUAAAACAUUUUCAAGUUUGACCAAAAUUAUAAAAGAAAAUACUAAAAUUUGUAACAUAAAAUCAAUAUACUAUAAAAAUAUAAUUAAAGAAAAAUCUAAUGAUACUUAGUAGGUAUCAUAAUAGUUAUUAUCUUGUUAUAAAAAAUUGGUGAAAUUUGAGAUACUUUAACUCUCCAAGAUUUUUAGAAUAUCUUAUAAUUUAGGAUGGAGGGUGAAAUACAUCCCUUAACUUUUGAAACCGUGCAUAUUACGUCCCUAAUAUGGUUAUGGGCGGUUUUGAAGGCAAUUUGUCUUUUUUAUUUUUAUUUUUUUUGGAUGAAUAUUUAUAAAAUUAUAGUAAAUCAAAUAAAAUUGAUAAAAUAGUAAAUCUAUUUUUUUGUACUCUAGAUAAGUAGAUAUAUACAAUGAACAUAUAAUAUGUUAUGCUUUAGUAUAAAGUUUUUGUUGUAACUUUAGAUCUGUGUUUUUUAUAAUUAAUUAGAAUAAUUCAUAGCUAUAGUUUGUAUGGUCCAAUUGUAGUGAAUUUUUUAUAUUGGAUUAUUUAUUAUAUGUUUAAACUGUGAUAAAAAUUUAAUACUCAUUAGAUCAUGUAUAACUUAGUUAUAGAUUUAUUAAGAUUUAACAAGCAUAAAUCUAAAUAAAUCUAUAAUAACUAAGUAAUACAUGAUGAAAGUUUUACUACAACCUAAGCGUAGAAUAAUUAACCCACCAUAUAAAUUUUGUUACAAUUGGACCAUAGAAAUUGUAGCUAUAAUUAGUCUAAUUAAUUAUAGAAAGCAUAGAUCUAAAGCCGCAUCAAAAAAUUUAUACUAAAACAUACUAUAUUAUAUAUUCAAUAUGUAGAUCUACUCAUCUAAAGUCCAACAAAAUUGGUUUUCUAUUUUAUGAUUUUUAUGUGAUUUAUUAUGAUGUUUCAAAAAAAAGCUGAAAUAAAUAAAAAGAUAAAGAUAAAACCAUUUUCAAAACCAGGUGAGGGAUCUAAUGUGCACGGUUUUUAAAAUUGAUGAUGUAUUUUGUCCGGUUCUAGAGUUUAGGGAUAAAAAUCAGAUUUUCGUGAAAGUUGAGGACCUAAAGUGGACUUUUUCCUUUUUGUUAUUGCAAAGGUUAAGGCCUUGUUUAGUUCAACCAAAAAUAAUUUUUUUUUCAAGAUUUCUCGUCACAUCGAAUCUUAGGAUACAAGCAUUAAAUAUAGAUGAAAACAAAAAUUAGUUACACAGUUUGUCUGUAAAUCAUGAGAUGAAUUAUUUAAGCUUAAUUAGUCUAUGACUGAACAAUAAUUAAAAAAACGAAGGUGCUACAAUAUUCAAAACAAAAGAAUUUCAGAACCCAACAAAAACAAAAAACUUUUCAAGAUUUCCCGUCACAUCGAAUCUUACGACACAUGCAUGGAGCAUUAAAUAUAGAUGAAAACAAAAACUAAUUAUACAGUCUGUCUAUAAAUCGCGAGACGAAUCUUUUAAAACUAGUUACUCUAUGAUUGAAAAAUAUUUGUCAAAUAAAACAAAAGUACUACAAUAGCGAAAUCUAAAAAAAUUUCACAACUAACAAGGCCUAAACGAAAACGGCCCAUCAGACCAGCAUCGCGGAAACCCACGGCGGCCCACUGAGGCCACAACCUUAGCAGCCGGGGUACGGGAACAUGGGCACGUUCCCCGUUCCGGGAACUUCGUCCCGAAACGUGGAACGGGAACAUCAUGGAACAUCGUUCCCAAAUGCGGUGGAACACGAAUCAUAUAUAGGAGCAAUCAUAGAAACAUCAGUCCCAAGCGACUAUGGAACUUCGUGGUGUGUCUGCAUACUGCGCCGUGCCCGUCCGUGAGCGGUCGGCGAAAAAUCUAGAUGGUGAUUGACUCAUUGGCCUAGACCUGCAAUGAGCCUUAAGGUUGGAGUUGGACAGCCCUAAAUGAAACAAAAAUACAAUAGUAAACUAUAUCACGCUAGGAAUCGAACUCAUUUGAUUCAAAACAACACGUAAAACUAUCUGAGCCAACCACUACGUCCCAAACACGUUCCUUUAGAAAGUGGAACGCGUUCCACAACUUAAAGGAACGAGACGAAACUAUAUACCCCUACGUUCCAUAGUUUAUGAAAAUGUCGUACCGCGUACCACGUUCCCGUACCACGUACCCUAUGUUCCGGAACAUGGCUGCUAAGGCCACAACACGCCGGCAACGUCGCGGUCCACCGCACGAAUCUCGAAGCGCCGCGCAGCCACAUUCGCCAGCUAGUAUCACCACGGGCUCCUGUUCCUGUCGCAGGUUACGCGGCGUCGCCUCCCGAAUCCCGAACCUUCUCGAGGUCGAGGCCCCUCUCCCCCUGCUCCAGGAGGUGCGCACGACUCUAAUCCCCUCACGCCCCACUGGCGUUUUCUUCCCUGCUUGCUCCGAUUUCGUUUCGAUGGUAAUCGCCGCCCGUUCCUCUCGUCGUCUCGUCCGGUCGUCCGCACCUUUCCUUUGAUUUGCGAGAGGGAUCUCUAGUCAAAAUCUCUCUUUAUGUAGCCGUUCAGUUCGUUGCGGUUUUUGUUUGACGAGUGGUUGAGUAGACCCCUGGCAAUCCACCCUUGCAUGGUUCGAUUAGGUUUUUGUUCAUCUUUUCCAGCUGCCAUUCUGCAUAAAUUGUUUAACCGAACCUCCUCUGUGGCUCUCUUUGUUUAAUUUCGUCACGGUGCCCCAUGUCAGUGUGUUGUAAGGUUGGAGCUGCACUGCAAUGAUACUUAUAUAAACUAGAAGCCUUGAUGCAUGAUUGAGCACGGUGCAAGUUGUUAGGUUUGAAAUUCCCGUGUAGUUCGAUUAACUGCAUAUCAGUAGUACAGUGCUUUUUGAAAGGAAGACGAAUAUGUUAUAGACUCAUAGUGUUCUCUGCAAGUCUGCAUCAUUUCUUUCUUGGUCGAGGUCUCAAGGAUGCUGCUACUUCAAUUUUUUAAAAAUAAUGCUCAGCAUAUAGUUAUGGUCCACCAUGUUCUUCCUGUUGCUUCGACUUUCGACUAGGAUAUUUUAACUUUAAAUAAAAUUCUGGCUCUUACUAUUACCAUGGUAUGACUUUCUCCUUAGAAAAUUGGUGUAGGGUUUUUGGUAAAUGACACAUUCUUGGAGAACUAUAUUCUUUGGGGGCCAUACUAUCUUUUGCAUGCUACAAUUGUGUCGUGCUUUGCCCCAACAUUUUUCCCAUUUAUGAGACAAUGAUGUACUUACCCGUGUUGGACUGCAGAAAACAAUGAGCCGACGCAACAGCCGUACCAUCUAUGUAGGCAAUCUCCCUGGGGACAUCCGUGAGAGGGAGGUUGAGGAUCUCUUCUACAAGGUGGGUUGCAAUUGUUUUACAUGUAUACCUUUGUCUGACUUUUCAUUUCGAAAGCAAGUGUCAGAUUGGUCAGGGCGUAUGCUAAUUCCUGCUCAGUCAAUAAAAUUUUCUGUCUCAGCAAGACAGCAACUUCAGUAUCCUAUUAAUGUGAGAAUGUAGUAUGGAGCUGAAUGUUUACAUUUUUUAUGUACUACAUUAAUUAAUUCAUCCGAUUCCAAAAUAUAAGUCCAUCUAGUAUUCUCUUAGAUCACCAAAUAUAAGUCCAUCACAACUUCGUGACAUCUAUUACUCUCAUUCUUCCAUGUCUACACCUGCUUAAAGGCGCCUAAUCAAUGCAGUACACUUGUUAUCUACCUUAACUGUAGUAACAAUUGGUGGCAACAGGGUCAUUGUACUCCUUACCUUAAUAUGUGCCAAAGUCCAAAUGGACUAUCAGAGGGAGUAGAAUAUUAUCUGAAAUUUGUUUGAGGGGUUGCACAAGAAUUUUGUUUGAGAUCAAUACAUGUUUUUUAUUGAGUUAUGUCAACUAAAGAAACGUCAUAUAUGUUGUUCUCUUUGUCUGAAGUAAACAAUAAUAUCUGUUUUGCAAUGACACCCGAUACCUUUUAUUUUGUCUCUGCAUCACCUAUGCUUUUAUUGAAUUAUGACAAUGCCUUGACUUUUUCCCCUUCAAUGUAUGAUUGUGCAGUAUGGUCGUAUCUUGGAUAUCGACUUGAAAAUACCUCCAAGACCUCCUGGAUACGCUUUCGUUGAGGUGAGGAUAUUUUUCUGUGGUCUGAUUCUGUAAGAAUAGUAUUCUUUUAUGGGGGCCUGCUUUUAAAUAUGCAUAACUUCUCUAUUACUCUGUUCAGUUUUAAAACCUAUUUUAUAUCAUGCUUUAAUCAUUCAAAUCAAACAAAUCAAACUGACUGAUAAUUUGUUUUGAUGUCACCCUAACAAAAAAUGAUGCUUUUUUAGUUUGAGGAUCCACGUGAUGCUGAUGAUGCAAUUUAUGGCCGUGAUGGGUAUAACUUUGAUGGCUACAGGUUGCGCGUAUGUAUAACAAACUUUUAUUUAAUGAUUCUCCCAGAAGAGAGGACUGGUUUGGGUUUUCUUGCAUUUGCUGAAAAUGCAUUUUCUACUCAGGUUGAAUUAGCUCAUGGUGGUAGAGGUCAGUCUUAUUCUUAUGAUCGUUCAAGCAGCUAUAGCAGUGCACGCCGUGGAGGUGUUUCUAGGCGCUCUGAUUUCCGUGGUUGGUACUUUUGUCAUAUGAGAACGUUUCCUUAUAGCUCCUUACACAGACUCUCAAGUUUCAUCUCCUAAAUCAUGCAGUUAUGGUCACUGGUUUACCUUCAUCUGCAUCGUGGCAAGAUCUGAAGGUAAUUUCUUUAUAAUUCAUUUAUUCCAGGACUUUUGCUGGAAAGAACUCAUUUACUACAUUUCAGGACCACAUGCGGCGCGCCGGCGAUGUCUGUUUCUCUGAUGUAUACCGUGAGGCUGGAGGUUAGUUGUUUGAACUUUGAACACUCCUGAACACAUUUUCUGCUAUUUCAUUGCAGCAUAUGGUUGUAAACGUAAUCCCUAAUUUUGUAAUCAUGUUUCCUAACUUAUUGCUUCACUGCCCCUUUGAAGUAUGAAAUAUUCAGGCUUUAUCCUGAAUUUCUACAUAUUGAUGAUAUCUGCUCCUUCUUCUUUCUUGUGCUGCAGAAACUAUUGGAAUUGUGGACUAUACAAAUUAUGACGAUAUGAAAUACGCGGUGGGUUUAGCAUGUCGUUUACUCAUUUUCUUUUAAUGUGAACUUAAAACCAUUUUCUCUCAUCUAUUACUGUGGGUCUGUUUUACUGUUGAAGGGAGUGCUCUAAGUAAAUUCUGUUCUUUCCUGUUUCAUGUGUCAUGAACUCAUGAUUGUACUCAUGCAUUUUCCUCUUGCCAUCGUGUAGAUUAGGAAGCUUGAUGACUCACAGUUCAGGAAUGCAUUUUCAAGGGCGUAUAUCAGGGUAUGUAUUCUUAUGUUUGCCCUAGUUUAGUUUUGGAAAUUGUUACAAUGCCUCAGAUCAUGUCUAUUUGAUUACGAGUUAUGUUGAUUCUUGUUCUAUUGUAGGUGAGGGAGUAUGAUGCCAGAUCACGAAGCAGAAGCCGUAGCCGGUCGUACUCUAGAAGCCCCAGUUACAGCAGGAGCAGGAGUCCAAAGUAUGUAUACAUGCUGACAAAUUUGUUAUCCAUGUCUUAUGGCAGCACUAACUAUUAUUUGUUGUUACUUAGAUCUCUUUCUCGGUCACCCUCACCUGUGGAUGAAAGGUAUGUGAAUCUAUGUCAAUAAGAAAUGUACAUUUGUGAAACUGAAAGUGCUAAUAUUGUUUAAAGAAAACGGAUUGACAAAUAAAUGGUGAAACCAAUCAGAUCUUGUCCUGAAUCAUCUUUAACGUAUUCUGCAGUACACCUAUGGUGCUAAAAAAUAUUGAAACCUGACUUGCAUGUCAUCAUUUUGUGGACUAACUUAACGCAGGGCCAGGGAGGAUGUCACAACUGAUAGGAGAGUGCCACAUUAACUUAAUUAUUUCCUACUAUCUGAUAUACUCUUGUCAAACAAACCAAAUGCCCGAGCUGAGAGACUGCCUUGUACAUACUUCUGCAAAUGCAGACCUGAAUUUUUGAGCAUGUGCUCUACCUAUCCUUAUAGAACAUGUUGAAGGUUUGGCUCUAUCACAAACUUCUAGAUAAAUCUUUCAAUGUUGUAGCAGCCUAGCAGGGAGUAUUGGAUCCUUCAGAAGCAUGCCAAAUUGAGAGGGUAUAGAAAGAUGUAUUACCAGAAUUUUACAUUCUUUCAAAACAAUAGUCUUGUCACCUUUUCCUGCCGUACCAGUCAUCUCCAUAGCAUGGCAGAACCUCUUCGUUUCUUUUUCCUCAUGGAAAAGCUUCAGUCCUCUCCUUAAUUAUCAACUUCAUACAUCUUUAACCUAGAGCUCCUUUUUUCUGAGUUUAACAACAAACUUUUCCUGCUUUAUAUUUUAAAGUAGAAAAAGGACUCUACAGAUAAAACUCACAUAUAUUUGCCUCAGAUUUUAAUAAACAAUAUUUCAAAAUAAAAUAUUUUUUCUGCUUUUUGUUAAAGCAAUAAGAAGAAACAAAGUUUGGUGCCAGAAUUUUUUUUUCGCGAACAGGUCGUAACCUGUUGGUGCCAGAAAUUUAACUUGAUAUACUUUGGAACGCCUCCUGAAAUCACCUGUGAUAUGUUUUUCUGUGUACCGAUUUCUCUUUAAGUUAGCAUAACUUUUGUGAUGUACUAAUCUCUCUUUAAAUAAGUGUGACUUGAAUUUGCUCUGUAGUUCAAUGAUUAAACAUACAGAGCUUGCUGGCUAACCUCCACUGUUCAAGGUUUGCUUUUGUUUUUCCUAGAUUUGGCCAUGCGGCGAUCUGGGGACUGCAUUGAUAUAAUAUUGGAUGUUUUGAGAAUUGGAGUGGAUGGUUUGGGACUUUGGAUAGUAGAGCUGGAUUGUGAUGCAUGUAUGACAAGUGGGCCACGACCAGUCCUAGGAGCAAGAUAGGACUGACAGUAAGAAAAUGUGAAGUGAAUCUUGUGGUGUUAUUAAAACAAAUGUCUACUAUUAAGUUCAAUGACUCCGUAUAAAUGAACCUUAAUUUAUAAGUUUGUGUUUUUGUCUAACAAUGCUGCCAUCUUAGUAAAAAUUCCUAUGGUGCCUUCUGCAUAUGGCUCUUUGUAGCCAUUUUCUUGUCAAGGUUCACACUAGCCAAAGAAGUUGACAUUAACAACAAAAUUCAAUAUACACCUUGCUUUGUUUGCUUAUUUGCAUUCCAGUUAUGACCUAAUUACCUUAUAGGCUUAAAAACUAUAUUAUUCUCGGAGUAUUAAGCAUAAACACCAGAAUGUUGCAGCUUCCCUCCUGUUUCAGUUCAUUCAUUCAUCUGCUGUGGAACGUUGCCUCUUUAUGCACAUCUCAAGUUGCCAGUUUAGCUUUAAUUGCAAUUUUGUAUCGCAGAUUAGAGUGCUACUAAUGCAUCAUUAAGUAAUGGAAUUUGUUUCUGGUACCUUUUGCAGAUCGCUAUCAAGAUCUCGAUCCCCAGUUUCUUCUGUAAGUAUCCCAAGCUCAUUAUAACCAAGCUUGUCAUAAUUGUCUUGUUCAAUGCAAUUGAUUUUUAACUCUUUUGCAGCCUUCUCAUGCCAGAUCUGCGAGCAGAAGCACAUCCCGUUCUCGGUCUCCUGUAAUUGCAAGCUUCCAAAACAAUCACUUAUUAUGUUGCUAGGAACUUUCAUGCUUAUUUAGUAUGUUGUUGCUGGCAGGUGAGAUCCGAUUGAACUUGGGAGCCCUUGAAGCAGUGAGCAGCUCCAGGGAGAAGAAAGGAACUUGAGAACAUGCCGUGCCAAAAGAUACUUGAGAACACCAAUGGUCCAAGUGAUUAUGUUGUUGCCGCUGCUCCCCCACAUUUGGGAGGUCUCUUCUAUUUAGACGGAGCAUUUAAUAAUUAUUAUAUUACAUUAUAUUGCUAAAGAGAUACUUAUUAUGCGUAGCAUACCGGUGUAGACUGAACUUGUUUGUCCUCGGUUUUUCUUGGCUCCUGGAACUCGGUUUUAUCAUUUGUUUACAAGAGACUUGUUUUAUCAUUGUACCCAUAUAGCAAAACCUAUAGGUGUAGUAGGAGUAUGCUGUAUGCGUCUAUGUUCAAUUGGUCGCAUGUAAACCUGGAUACGCACAGUUGUUUGGUUCCAUGGUGUGUUGUUACAAUGUUCCAAAAUUUGAGAUUCUCUGGAACAAUGUAGCAUCGUUGUGCAACUUCGAUCAGAUUUGGCUGAAUUCUGGUAGUUUUGUUCCUUGCCCUAUUGAGCCGAAGUGCGUGUGCAACGAGUUUGCCGACACAGCGCUGACUCCGUAUCCUUUUUUAAUUUGGAGUUGGUUGGGUUUCAAGUAAGACUACAAAUAUAUUUGUGGGUUGGAAAAUAAACAAAAUCUAGCUAAUACUCCAUUUCAAAUUAUAAGAAUUUUUGGAGUCAGAAGCAUUUUAAGUUUGAUUAAAAUUAUAGAAAUAAAUAUAAAGAUUUAUUACAUCAAAUAGGCAUUGAAAAUAUAAUUAAUGAACAAUCUAUUGAUACUCAGUUGGUACUAUAAAUUCUUAUUAUCUUAUCAUAUAAGAGAUUCUUAGAAUAAUUUAUAAUUUAGGAUCUUAUCAUAUAAGAGAUUUUUAGAAUAAUUUAUAAUUUAGAAUGGAGGGAGUACAAGUGUAACCUAACUUUUUUGAUAAAAAGAAAGAAAAAAGUCUACAUCACUCCCUGAACUAUGGGUGGUGUCUACUUUAUCCCCGAACUAUGAAAUGGUCUAAUUUACCCUCUGAACUAUCCAAAACUGUUCAAAUCACCCCUCAGGCAGUUUUUGACGGCAGUUUUGAUACAGUAACUGCUGUUUUUAUUUUUUUUAUUUUUUCAUAUUUGUUUUCAUAUAUAAUCUUUGAAAAAAAAUAGUAAAUUACAGAAAAAUCAUAAAAUAGAAAAUCUAAUUUUGUUGGACUCGGCAUGAGUAGAUCUACGCAAUGAAUAUAUAAUAUGAUAUACUUUAGUAUAAAUUUCGUACUCAUUUGAUCAUAUAUAACUUAGUUAUAGAUUUAUUCAGGUUUAUGCUUGUUAAAUAUAAAUAAAUCUAUAACUAAGUUAUACAUGAUCCGAUGAGUAUGAAAUAUUUACUAUAUUUCAAGCAUAGAAUAGGCCUUGUUUAGUUCCUCAAGUAUUUUGUAAAAAAUCCAAAAACCCCCAAACCUUAAGCAGUCCACCAAAAUUCUAACACCAAAAAUUUUUGGUUUUGGUGUUUACUUCCUAAAAUAUUUUACAAAAUUUUUCAGAUUUCCUGUCACAUCAAAUCUUGUGGCACAUGUAUAAAACAUUAAAUAUAGAUAAAAAAUAACUAAUUGUACAGUUUAUAUAUAAUUUGCGAGACGAAUAUUUUGAGCCUAAUUAUUAUAUUAUUGGACAAUAUUUGUCAAAUACAAACGAAAUUGCUACGGUAUCUAUUUUGCAAAAAAUUUUGGAACUAAACAAGACCAAUGUCCCUAUUUUAUUUUGCAAAAAGUUUAGGGCCAAAAUAUUUUGGCCAUGUUUACUUCCAAAAUGCAAAAUAGCAAAAAAAAUUUUAUUUGGUCCAAAAUAUUUUGGAACUAUUAGGCCUUGUUUAGUUCCCAAAAAAUUUUGCAAAAUUUUUCAGAUUCCCCGUCACAUCAAAUCUUUAGACGCAUGCAUGAAGUAUUAAAUAUAGACGAAAAUAAAAACUAAUUGCACAGUUUGGUCGGAAUUGACGAGACGAAUCUUUUGAGUCUAGUUAGUCCAUGAUUGAACAAUAUUUGUCAAAUACAAACGAAAGUGGUACUAUUCCUAUUUUACAAAAUUUUUUGGAACUAAACAAGGUUCCAAAAAUUUUUGAAACUAAACAAGGCCUAAUUAGUCGACCAUAAAAAUUUCACACAGUUGGACCAUAGAAGUUGCAGCUAUGAAUUAUUCCAAUUAAUUACAGAUAAAAUUUGAUUUUUUUUCUAACUAAUUUAAAGCUACAGAAAAAUUUUGUAUUAAAUAUACCAUAUUAUAUAUUCAUUGCAUAGAUCUACUCAUGUGGAGUCCAAAAAAAUUAGAUUUUCUAUUUUAUGAUUUUUCUAUGAUUUACUAUAUUUUUUAAAAGAAUAUAUGAAAACAAAUAGGAAAAAAGAAAAAGUCAAAACCGCAGUUACUAUAGCAAAACCACCGUCAAAAACCGCUCAGGGGUGAUUUGAACGGUUUUGGAUAGUUCAGGAGGUAAAAUUAGACCGUUUUAUAGUUUGGAGGUAAAGUAAACACCACUCUAUAGUUCAGGGGGUGAUGUAGACUUUUUCCUAAAAAGAAAUGGAAGAAGAAAUGGAAGAAGUCCACUUUAGGUCCCUCAACUUUCGUAAAAAUUCGUUUUUCAUCCUGAACUUUAAAAUCAGGUAAAAUAUAUCCCUCAAAUUUUAAAACUAUGCAUAUUACGUCGUUGAUAUGGUUAUGAGUAAUUUUAAAGGUAGUUUUGUCUUUUUAAUUUUUACUAGGUAGCGUGCCCGUGCGUUGCUACGGGAUAACUAACAUUUUUAUUUAAAAUUCACGGAUCGCACAAUAAGAUAACAAUAUUAUAAUAAAACUUAAAUACCAACUAUAAAGUUACAUUUGACUUAAAGAAACAAAGUUCGUGAAAUCAAACAUAGUUAUGAAGAGCACGACGUUAUAGGCUUACAAACUCUACUUUAUAGAUCUUUCCGUGAUACGACAAAGAUAAUGUUUAUAUCGACAAGAAGAUAUGUCCGAUAUCUAUUUCUUUCGUGUGCCAGUAAAUCCACAAAUAAAUUUCGCCGCAUCUCCGUACCAUCCUAUCACACAUUCAAGUAUAUAUGUAAAAAUUAGUGUGUUACAUGGGUAAUACUACAUUUUGUUAAAAAAACUUUUACAAAAACUUAGUCAAAGUGUUAUACUCACUGUAUAAAUAUGCGUGGCUUUUGGUCUAUUCCAUGUAGACAUAUAUUGUAGGAUGAGAAAUCUACUUAAGUACCUGUAGCAAGAUUCAUGAUCAGCAAUAUAUAGAAAUAGUUAAAUCAUAGGUAUUUGUUAUUGCAAAUGACGAUGAUUUUAAGUUAGUUACCUAUCUAUAUCAUCUGCAAUGUUUUCUGUCCGUUUAAAUUUCCAUUUGAAAACAUCCUCAUCUCAUCCAGGAAUAUGUUUAUUAAAUGCGGCCAUGUAGUUGUAGCUAAGUCCAAGAGUGUAUUUGGCAUACAUAAGCGCUGGUGUGUCUUUACACCACUCUUCAAGAGGUCUAGGGUUAAUCAUGAUGAGCAUUUUUUCCCGCAUGUCGAAAACAUAAAGCAUAUAUUUUCGAAAGGAUAGCCACGGUAAAAGAAACUGCAAACACGGUACCAUUAGAAUAGUUUAUAGGGAACAAUCAAUAAAAUAUUGAGCAAAAGACUUACGUAUCUGCAUUGUGCUAAGCUGUACUUCAUAUCCUCACAUAUACCAAUCGCAGCAGCCAUUUCUGUUGUUUUGUAUUUUUUACGAUAUUCUGGCAUCUUUGUUAAAGCACACAUUCUCUGAAAGCAAAGGAUAACGAGAGUCAGUAUUAGUAUGACUUGAAAAAAAUAAGACAAUAUAAUAUAUCACCUAAUUUAUCCUAUUGAAGUUAGACUCCAUGCAAAAAUAUACUUACACAAAAUUUUAAGUCCAUGUGAUGCUUCGUAAUAUUAUUAUAAUUUUUCAUUAUAUUAUACUUUCGAGCCGCCUGAAAACGAACUCCUAUUUCGAAACAGUUCUCAGGGAUGUCUCGAUUGUUCAUUAACAAUCCUUACUCAGUCGGUGAGAAGAACCGUUUCUUCAUGUAUCAGGCUUCACCCCGAAAACCAAAAACUUUUCAAGAUUCCCCGUCACAUCAAAUAUUAGAGCACAUACAUGAAGCAUUAGAUAUAGACGAAAAUAAAAACUAAUUUUACAGUUUAUCUGUAAAUCACGAGAUGAAUCUUUUGACCCUAGUUAGUCUAUGAUUGAAUAAUAUUUGUCAAAUAAAAACGAAAAUGCUACGGUGUCGAAAUCUCAAAUUUUUUCGGAACUAAACAAGGCUGAAUAUCGACAUCAUCUUGUCAUACAUGCCAGCCUUACCGUAGGACUUGAUGUUGAACGUCUUGGUAUCUGGCUCAACACCCAUCAGCUGAAACUCACUGUAACUCUUCUCCAUUUCAUCUGUUCUUCCAUGGUUGCCAUAUGCCCCGAUGACAGAGUUCAUCGUGUAAAUGUCUGGCACAUUGCUCCCACUCUCAAGCAUGGCAGAGAGCGCACCCUCCAUCUCCUCAAACAUGGCAGCCUUGCCGUACCCAUCAAUUAUCGCGUUGUGGAUAACCGAAUUGCACUCGAUCCCCAGGUAUGACAUCUCGUCGAGAACAGCAGGGAUCAGAUCGAAGCGGCGCGACUUGGCGCAGAAUUGAUGAGGACGGAGAAGGUGUACCCGUCCGGCUUGCAGUCGGCGGCGCCUUUCAUCUGCUCGACGGCAGCCAGCGCCUCGUCCAGAAAGCCGCUAUAGCCGUACGCGCCGACGAGCGCCGUGUACACGUCCGCCGUCGGCCGGAGCCGCUCCGAGAGCAUCGCCUUGAAGAGGGCGGCGGCGGGACCGGGCUGCCGGCACUUGCCGAGCAUCAUCAGCAGCCGCGCGUAGGUCUGCGACCUCGGCUCGUACCAGUGCUGCUUCCGCAGCAGCUCGAAGAUCUAGCGGCAAGCAAAGCAAGAGACACGGUAAGCAUCGUUGAGGAGAGCAGAAGAUCCUCCGCGGGGAAGGAGGGGGGAAAAGCGUUGGGAAGGAGGGGACCUCCAGGGCGGACUCCCAGCGGCAUGCGGCGACGGUGGAGUCGAGGGCCUCGAGGACGACGCGGGGCCAGAGGUUUGUGGACUGCUGCCGCGCGGCCGCGGCCUUGCGGGAGACGCCCGAGACGGCGGCCUCGGUGCGGAGGAUGUGGGCGAGGGCGUCCGGCUGCUCGUGCUCGGCCUCGCCGACGCGGGUGGACGGGGACAGGCGAGGCGGUGCCGAUGCGGAUGACGGAGCCAGGCGAGGUGGUGCCGAUGCGGAUCACGGCGGCAGGCGAGGCGGUGCGGAUCACGGAACCAGGAGAAGGGGAUCAGAGCGAAGGGGAUCAGGGGUCUUCGGUUUGUGCUCACGGUGGAAAGGGGAAGGGGAUCGCGGGUCUGCUGACGGAAAGGGGAGGGUAUCACGGAGGGAUGGAGGUUUCCAAGUUUAGCUGGCGACGUGGACGCACGACGCGAAUGGGAGACGGACGAAACCAAAACCGCACAAAAAAAAAUGUCCUUGUUUUAGUUUUUUUUAGUUGUAGGAGAUUUAUUUUGGCUAAAUAUUUGUAAAAUUAUAGUAAAUAACAUAAAAUUCAUAAAAUAGUACAUCUGAUUUUGUUGGAUUCCAGAUAAGUAGAUCUACACAGUGAACAUAUAAUAUGGUAUGUUUUAGUACAAAGUAUUUGUUGUAGUUUUAUAUCUAUGUUUUUUUUAUAAUUAAUUAGAAUAAUUUAUAGCUAGAGUUGUAUGGUCCAAUUGUGAUGAAUUUUUUAUGUUGGGUUAAUUAUUAUAUGUUUAAACUGUGAUAAAAAUUUCAUACUUAUUAGAUCAUGUAUAACUUAGUUAUAAAUUUAUUAAUAUUUAAUAAGCGUAAACCUAAAUAAAUCUAUAACUAAGUAAUACAUGAUCCAAUGAUUAUGAAAUUUUUAUUACAACUCAAGCAUAUAAUAAUUAGCCUACCAUAUAAAUUUCAUCACAAUUGGAUUAUAGAAACUGUAGCUAUAAUUAGUCUAAUUAAUUACAGAAAAGUAUAUAUCUAAAGUUGUAUCAAACAAUUUGUACUAAAAUAUACUCCCUCCAUCCCAAAUUAUAAGUCAUUCCAAGAAUCUUGGAGAGUCAAAAUAUUUUCAUAUUUGACCAAAUUUAUAGAGAAAAAUAGUAAGAUUUGUAACGUAAAGUGAGUAUAUUAUGAAAAUAUAAUUAAGGAAGAAUCUGAUGAUACUUAGUUGGUAUCAUAACAAUAAUUAUUUUAUCAUAUAAAUUUGGUCAAACUUAGAAAAGUUUGACUCUCCAAGAUUCUUGGAAUGACUUACAAUUUGGGAUGUAGGGAGUACUAUACUAUAUAUUCAAUGUGUAGAUCUACUCAUCUGAAGUCCAAAAAAAUUAAGUUUUAUGUUUUAUGAUUUUUAUGUGAUUUACGGUGAUUUUCAAAAAAAAAUUAGCCGAAAUAAAUAAAAAGAAAAAGAUAAAACCACUUUCAAAACUAGAUAAUAUGCACACUUUUUAAAGUUCAAGGAUGUAAAUCAGAUUUUUAUGAAAAUUGAGGGAUCUAGAGUGAUUUUUUUUUUCAAAAUAAAUCAAACGUGCACAUGCUGGUAGUACGUUUGAAUUACGAAUCCUACUAAGUACCGGUCCGGCCCGGCCCCUUUAUCUUGCGGCCCCCGCGCCUUUUGUUCUCCCGUUCCCCAGGCCCAGUCUCCCACGCAUCGCGGUUCUCCCCGUGUCCUUCGCGUGAGUUCUGCGACGACUACGCGACCGCCGGCGCCAGCGCCAGCGCCAGCGCCGCCGUUCGCCAGGUUUCCGGAUCUCUAUCUUCGGGUUGGAGCCCUUCACCGGCGACGAGCAGCCACCAGGUACGCCCACCCCAUCUCUUCCGUUCCUGCUGUGCGGAACCGAGCACCCAAACCCUAACUAUUGGUAACCGUAUCUGAUCUGAUCCAAUUAGUGUUGCGAGUCCCGAUGGCGGAACCAGCGAAGCCCGAGGUGACGGAGGAAGCUAAGAUGGACCUGCUCGAGGACGACGACGAGUUCGAGGAGUUUGAGAUCGAUCAAGGUAUGCUUCCUCGUCGAAUCCCCGGUUCUUCCUGGUCAUCUGCUAGGUGGCUCCGUUGUCAAGAUCUGGUUAGGGUUCGUUAGCUCAGGUGUUUUUGUUUUUGUGUCACAUAGGGGGUGUGAAAUAUCUGUUGCUGUCACUUGUGCGAUGUAGGGCUGUGCCCAAACUAUUGUCCGUUAGUAGACGCGCUGGACAUUCUGAUCUUGUUUAUCUAGUGGACCGGAGUCUUAUCUUUCUGUAAAGUAGCUAAAAUUUGUGGCUAACCGGCUGCUCCAAAAUUGAUGAUUUCAGAUGGGUUUGCUCUUUCUGCGCUGAAAACAUUUGUCUGCUGUUCCAUAUUAUGAAAUUCUAUCCACAACCUGAGAUAUUUCGCUAUAGAUAGAUGACAUUUGGGCUAAUAUGUUGAGUCGGUUCGAACUUGAAUUGUGGUUUAUUUAUCUGUAUGAAUUACUAGAUUCAUUUAUUAAUUGCUCACCCCAGAGACAAGCAAAGUGCCACUUAUAGAACAAUAAUAAUGCAACCUUCAGGAAAAACUCCAAUAGUGAGUUUCUGUGGCAACAUCAACGCAAACUAACAGUUAUUAUAUCGAGAGAGUGUUUUUCUAGAUUGAUUUGAAUCGUGUUUCGUGUGUGCAGUUCAUAAAUGUUAUAGAGGGAUUGGUUACUACAUGCAUGGCACGUUACUGCCAUGAGUGCAUUCAGCCUAUUUUUUGUGCUUAAAAAUCUCUUAAUUUCUUUAGACAAUCUGUACAUGCCUAUAUGCUAGAUCAAGUUGAAAGAUCAAAUCCCAGAUGCAUUUAUGCUUGCUUUGCAUUAUUAGAAACUUAGAAGACAUCACAAGAUUGAUGUUGCAUUUGAGUGUUCUGGUGUUGUUUCCUAGUUAAUCUGUUCACCAUGACCCAUUUGGAUUAUCUUGUUUUUUUAGUUUCCUCUUUGUCCGUUGUUUCUUUUGGUUGUGUAGUGUAAUGACCUGUUCAAUUCGACAAGAUAUCAAACUUGUUUAUGAAACUGUUACAGACAAAAACAAUGCUGGCAUUACCUAAAUACCAGUCUGAUACUAACUUCUGAAUUACAGAGUGGGAUGACAAGGAAGAAGGCAAUGAAGCACUUCAGCAAUGGGAGGAUGACUGGGAUGAUGACGAUGUCAAUGAUGACUUCUCGCUGCAGCUGAGGAAGGAGCUGGAGAGCAAUGCGCCCAAGAACUAGCUAGCAUUUGCAUUUUGCAACUGUUAUUUGUUCUGGACCUUGGCAUGGCUACUUUGAUGUAGUCGCUGCAUUUGCUGUUGUUAAUACCUUGAUUACUGAAAGAUCUAUUUUCCGAGUUAUAUUAACCUGCUUUCAUCAUCAUCUAAUAAUAAUCCAAAUCUGAUCGGUCUAUUCAGAAGUCUGCAAGGCGCUGUUGUUUGCAUAUCAUCUAUCUUUGUUGUUUGCAUAUCAUCUAUCUUUGCCAUCCAAGCUGUCUGCAAUGUUGCGGUUUGAUACUUGUCUUGAAGGGAAAUUUUAGUUGCUCCAUAUGGUUACCUGUCAAUCAGUUUACUUCUGAGCAGCUUAAACCAGUAACGUAGAGUACUAUCGCAAAACCCUUUAGUAACGUUGAGUACUAUCGCUAAACAUUUUUUUUUUGAAGGAUCUGUCUAGAUAACAAUUGAGUGAUUCAAGGGCAGCCAUUAGUUAACUUUUUGACGCAUAGACCAUCUUUAACAACACCACCCAAAAUACAAGACUAAUUCAACGCAAUCUCCAACAACACCACUCAAAAUACAAGACUAAUUCAACAUUUGGUAGCGCUACAGGCAAAGAGUUCAAUAUCCAUUUAACAUCUUCUGUAAUAACAAGACCCAAAAUAGAAUCUUUUUUACAAAUAGUUUUAAGGAGAGAAGACAUUCAUAUUUGGGUUGUGCCUCUCAAACAAUCUAAAUGGGGUCUCCCGUAGUUAACUUUUUGACGCAUAGACCAUCUCUAACAACACCCAAAAUACAAGACUAAUUCAACGCAAUCUCCAACAACACCACCCAUAAUACAAGACUAAUUCAACGCUUGGUAGCGCUACAGGCAAAGAGUUCAAUAUCCAUUUAACAUCUUCUCUAAUAACAAGGCCCAAAAUAGAAUCAUUUUUACAAAUAGUUUUAAGGAGAGAAGACAUUCAUAUUUGGGUUGUGCUUCUCAAACAACCUAAAAUAGGGUCUCCCGUAGGUACUUAGUUAGAAGCCGAUUUUAGAUCUCCUGCUACCCAUUUUGGGUUUGGAUGCCCAUAUGGGUCACUUAUUGGAGAUAGUCUUAUAGAUAUAAAAUAGAGGGUUGAGAUCAAAUCUCUCUCCAUUAUAUCUUCUUUCAUCUUCUUCCUCCACGCGCACACCACUGGACCCUAACAAGCCACUCGCCUCUGCCACCUUUGCCUCCUCGCUUGGCUGUAGCGGCUCCCUUGUUGUUGGAUCCGCUAGCCUCCACCACAACCCGAUCUGGUACUAAAAUCCAUUGGAUGUGUCUCCUCGCCGUCUUCUUCAUCUUCACUCUGAGCUCCCUACUUCCAUGCUAAUCUGGUGGAGGUUGUCGAGAUAUAUCCAUCACACCCCCGUCCUUGUCCUGCCCAACUGCCUUCCUUCACUGCCCAGCUGGCAGUGCCACUGCCACGACUGCAAUCACCACUUGGGCAGCCUUUUCUCAUGAAUCCUUAAGCCCGCCAGAUUUAGGUGACACCUUGAAUCCCAAACCCUAACCCUAACCUUGCCAACCUAGUGAACCCCCUUGGGACAACACCCACAGUUAGUAGUUGCAAUCAUAUCUUAUCUUAAACUAUAAUAGGAUUUACAUAGGUGUCCUUAGGUGGGUACCACCUAACCAACCUCCUUGUGACAACACCCAUAGUGUUGGUUGACCAUGCUUAUAUCCUCUAUCAAUUCCAGAAUCACUACACCAUCGUUGCCAGCAAAUCCUACGAGGGAUAUAACAAAACCAAAUCAUAAACUACCAAGCACAACAAUUAAAUCCCGAUUUUGCUACUAAGAAUGAGGAGUCAAUGUGAGAUUUGCCACUAUACUACACGCUUUAGGAAGAGUUACUUUGCCAAGAACUAUGAUGUCAUAGCAUAUGUUAUUGUAUUUCUAGAAGAUAUCUACUUGUCCAAUAAAUUGUCUCUUAGAUGUCACUGAGUUGGAUGAGUAUUAUGUGAGUAAAAUCCUAGUUGUCAAUUAUGUUGCCAUCUAGUUGGCUAGUAGUUGUCAUGUAGUUGUACAUGAAUCAUGUACAACUUUGGAGCCUAAAAAUAUAGGAAAUUAAUAUUUUAAUUUUUGGGAUUCAUGCAGUCUGCUAUAUAUUAACUUGAUGAUGUUCCUAUUAUUGAUUUCUUUUAAGAUAUACUAUUUGAUGAAUUAGGUUUCCCUUAGGGGAUUAUCUGCUAUUAUGUUAAAGUUAUUCCUUCAAAAACUUUGCUUUAUAUCUCUUACCACCUUGGAGUGGUUCCUCCAAUGCUAGUGUGUUACACGAUAUACCUUGUGACACAAACCCUACACUAGGCAAAUGAAAAGAUCAUAGGAUCAUAGAAGAAUUUCAACAAAUAGGAAUCAAACAUGUAGUGAGAACAAUUAACAAAAGUUAGAACCCUACAAUACUAGUUUACAAUAAGAUAUAGUCAGUGACAUGACACUUUUGCAAGAUCAUAGGAAACCAUGAAACAAAUCUUCCAACAAAAAAAAUAUUAGCAAGAAGAAGGCAAGAACACAAAAGUGACAUCACAAUUAUGAGUUACAACACUAACAUGAAUCGGUACAUUUGUUUUUUUUGUUCCAAAAAUGCAUACCAAGUUGUUGAUAAAAAACAAGCCAUUUCAAGUUAGAGGGAUAAACCCAAGCUUGGCGAGAAAUAGAGGACUAGAAAAAAGUAGGGGUGAUAGUGUGGAAGCGAUGCAAACUCCCAAGGACUGUACCCAUUGCUAGCUUGGAUUCUGAGGAUAGAGAUUCCUAUAAGGGGGCAAACUAGUUUGCUUAAAUCAUCUUCAAAAGCUCCUCUAAACUAUUCUCAAAACCGUUUUUAGCCAAAAACAAAAAAUUGACCCUCCAACAAUUGUAGUCUGCACUUCCAAUCUUUUAUAGAUUCCUGAAUCUCUCAAUCAACUUGUACCUUCCCAAUCACUCUUGACCAUUGCAUUUUUGUUUCCUCAUGCAGUCAUUUGUUUCUCUCAUGUGAUUUUUUGUUUCUCUUAAGCAGUUCUUUGAUCCUCCAUCGCCCACUAUUGGCUACCCUUGUCGCGCCUAACUAGUCUUGGUCAUCCCUGACCGCUCACUGGCCAAGCUAGGGAAGUCACAUAGGUAUGGAAACAAAAACAUAAAGAUGUUGUAGAAUGGUAUAUUUUUUCUAUACCAAACGGUGUUUGUGAGCUUCUAAAAUCAUAAUUUAUUGGAAUGAUUUUUUGUUGUAAACUCUUGGAUAUUUUCUUAGGAUAGACUAAAGCAAAUUGUUGGGAUUUACCCAUUAUACCUCAACCCACCCCUUCAAUCACCGGUCAUUAAAAAAUCUUGUGUUGUCACAUAGGUGGAAAGGACUUGUCCUUUGUAUGAUAUUUUAUAGUCAUCUUUGAAUAUUUGCUAUCUCUAAAUAUUUUUAUUUCAUUUUUCUAUGAUAUAUCUAUAUGAAAAUUGGUUAUGUAGAUGAUCCAUGUUAAGUAUCCAUGGCUGAAUGGUUAAAGCGCCCAACCAUAAUUGAUAAUUUUGCGAGUUCAAUUCUUGUUGGAUGCAUGCAAAUGAGAACAUUCUGUAAGUCUAUUAGAACUGGCUCUCUAUCUAUGGAAUCUCAUCCAUCAUCUUUACAUAAUGAAUUGGUAUGGUAUAUUCAUACCAUAACAUAAGAACUCAAAUUCUUAUCGAUACUAGAACUUAGAGCAUAGGAGGGAAAGUCAAUUUAUGGAUGGAAUAAAAUUUGUAGUAUUUAGAAGAAGGCCCAACUCAAAGGUUAAAUAAAAGCCACUAUGGCAAAGAUAAAAUGAUGAAGGUUUGAAUCAAAGUCUUGGUACAAAGAAAAAAUCCAAUUCAAAGAAGCCUUGGGACAAAGACCCCAAGUUGAAGGUCAAACCCAUAGCCCUACAUCAAAGAGUCAAUGUGCAGUAAAAGAUUGGCUUUGUAUGCAUGACUAUCAAAGCAACCUUAUCUUGCGUUGUCAUUUUAAAGUAGUUUGUAGCUAUGUAAAGGCUAUUUCACACAAAUAUUCUUGAAGUAUAGUUGCUAAGUUGGGGCCAAGAGGACAUCUUUAGUGGUCGGGCAAAAAUCUCCAAAAUAUUAUUUACAUGGGAUGACUUUUGCAUUUCCUCAAUAAUUCAUUGUGUUCUGUUUGUCUCUAUACUUGCAUAUAAACACUACAAAAAAUUCCAUUUUCACAUCACAGUAAUUCAAAUUAGUAUGUUUCUACUACACAUAAUCCAAAUCAAACAAUUUAAAAAAUUUAAACAUAUGUCAUAUGGUCCAAAACUCCAAAUGCAUAAGAUAAAACUAAAUUCAAGCAUAACAUAUGAUCCAAUGGAUAAUAUAGAUCAUCACAAGCUCCUAUUUCCACUACCAUUCCCAUUCCCAUUCCCAUUCCCUCUCCCAUCCUUCAUGCUAGAGUUUAUGCAUGCAUUAAUUCCAUGUUGGCUAUUUAUGCACAUGCAUUCUGCGCACAUAAAAAUCUAUGUUUGUUUGUUUUGCAAGAGGUUCAUACAUUUUGUCAUUUGAAAAUUAGAAUUUCAAUUCUAGUUUAUCAUAAUUGGCAUAAUGGGUUUAUUUUUCUAAACUUUUUAUAUGAUUUAGAUUGCAUUGUGUUAGUUCUUGAAUUCUUUACUUUUUCUUUACCAUGGGCAAGAAUGCAACCAUGAUAAUGUUAGAUGAUAGUGAAGGAUAUCAAUUCUUGUGCAAAAAUGUAAUAAACAUUCUCAAAUGAGUCUAGCUAGCUUGUGAAAUGUAUCGUUAGAACCUAGAUUUGCUCAUCCUGGCUUCUCACAAUUGACCAAGCCACAUGAUAUAAAGGAAACUAGUCACCACCUAGUGCACUUGGGUGAGGUGCUCUAGUACUAGGUAGUCGCAUUUUAGCAAACUGUAAGAAAACUAUCAUUGUAAAAAAUCCAUAUUAUGCAGUACAAGGAUUAGACAUGCCAAAAAAUAUGAUGUAACUCUUCUUGUUUUAGCUCCCUUUUUUCUAUCAUAUCAACAUUAAACAACACUUCAUUAAAAGAUAUCUAAUAGACAUGUCACUAAGAUUUAAUUUCACACGCCGAGAGGGAAAGGGUUUCUCCAUCUUUUCUUCCACGUGCAUGAGUAUACACAUACACUAACACCACACACAUCUAAACCAAUGAACUGUACAUAUUUUGAUGAUCACAACACUAGUAAAUUUAGUGGAACUUACUACCUCUCAUAAUUUUGGAGGUUAACGAGGGGCGAGACCUACGCAACUCUAGUGAUCUAACCUAUACUAGUUAGGCAUGUUCUUCUUACUCUAUGGUCUAAGGGUUUAUUUAGCUUGUCUCCUCUAGCUCACCACUAUGUAGUUGUGGCACCCCAAAACCACAACACAUGGUUUGUUCGCCAAGUGCUGCAAAUGGUAUUGUAAACUAAAGAGAAAAGUUUGAAUGGCCAAACUUGUAGCAGACUAUGGAAGCAAACACAAAUAGAGGCUCUAUUGCGAACUUUUUUGUAGAUUGGGAAGCAAUCCAAACACACUCUAUGGUUAGGCUCAAUGACACACUCUAAGAUGGGAGUUCUAGGCUCCACAUCUAUAUUUAAUAUCAAACAAGCAUGAAAAGUGGUUCGGGCUUGUCCAACACACCAAGCUUUUGUACUGUCCUAUUAGUCUCCACGUUGUCGUUGAGCAUCCAUGUCACCAAGGAUGAUGGUCUUGCUGUUAGAAUGACUCACAGGAAGCAAAAUAGGUCUCACUUACAUAAGUGGAAGCAACACCUGGACUCAUGUUGUGGAGAAGGUUGCGAGAGCGUAGGAAAGAGAAGUUGCAAAGCCCAUAGAAAAUGCAUGCAUAGUAGAGCCCCAAAAAAGUAGCUUACAUUUGGGUGCAUUAUAAUACUAUUGGCCUCAACUCGUCAUCUAUAUGGACUACGACUUUUGGUUUGAGCUAACAAAACUACUUGCUUUGCUAGCUUGUGCCCUUAGAACGAUAUUCAAGGCAUUGUUUGGCAUACGGAGGUGCUCAUAGGGGAUAGGAUAUGGGUAUGUACGUGUGUGCUUGUAUAUAUAAGCAUAUGCGUUUGUACUGGAUCUCGAAAAAAUAAGACCUUGUGAUAGACUCUACCCAUUAAGGAGAGAGGAAUUAGAGGGAUGCAAAUCAAAAGUUGCCGAAUAACAACAUUAGUGUGCAUACGUUAUGGGUGUGUGCUUCUUUCUAGUUUAUGUUGAGAAUGGUCUAAAAGCAACUCUAAAAGCCUAUUUAUAUCAUUCCGUAUUAAGGAAAAUAUAUUUUCAUGAAGAAGAAAAAAAAUCUCUAUAAGAUCUCUAAAUAUUUCCAUCUCUACAAUAAAGCGGAGCUGGCUCUUAAGAUUCUUAUAAUAACAAAAUAGGAAGAAAUUGUAUAGGUAGCAGUUUAUGAGAAGAAGUUUGGAGAUAUUAUUGUAACCACCAACGCGCAAUCUGAGCCGUCGAUCUCCACGACCCCUCUGUUCACACGACCACGGUCUCCACCGGGAAAGGAAUUGGGGGCGAUUCGAGCCCAAAGAUCGCAUCGGCAUGGCAUCCAAAUCCAAAGGCCCAAAGCGCAAAAAGGCGAUGAGGCGACGAGAGAGACGCGAGCGAGUCGGAGCGGUCGGUCCUCUCGUCUCUCCCGUUGGGUUCCAUGGACAACGGACGGGAGGUGGCGUGGUGGACACAGCUCGCCGGGCGGUGCCAACAGCGUGACGCCCGCUGCCGCGAUUGGAAUUGGAAACUAGAAACUGCCCCCCCCCUCACCUCCUCACGAGGCCCCUGCUCCCAGCCUUCGUCUUCUCCCUCCUCCCUCCCCCUCCCCCUCCCCCUCCCCCUCCCCGCGUUUUUCAUUCAUCAUCAAUCAUCAGGAUAAAAAAGGCCCAGAUUCAUGGAUGCUUCCUCCCCUCGCCCUCGCCUCCGCGUUUGAGCCACAGACCCGAGCGAUCGUGCCCCGAUCCCGAUUACCCACCAAUCUUUUUCCUCCGCCAUGGCGAUCCGCCCGGACUAAUGCCUGAUUCUCCGUCCGACGAUCCUCGGUAAGCCCUCGCCCGCCCCCCACUGGUUUGGUCCUGCGUGGUUCACAUGGCUCGUCAGGUUCUUGCGGGUUCCUUUCCGGUGUGUGUGUGUGUGUGUUUUUUUUUCUUGUUGCGGAUUCGUCUUGCGUGUGGGUGUUCCGCGGACUCCCUUGUUGCCCUGCUCGAGUAUCAUUCGCUACGAUUUUCUUGUUUUCUUUAGUCAUUCGUAGGAAUCCUCCUGUUCUACAGGGUUCUGUUACGAAUCCGUGGGGUUUUCUGUUGCAGAAUUGAGCUUUUUCCUGCGGAGGCUUGGACCAUUCUCGUGCGCUCCUUUGAUUCUCUUCGUCCCCUGCGAAUUUCGUUGCUGAACGUCAUCUGUCCGCUCGCAGGUUCUUCUUCUGGAGGAAGAUUGGGGCGGAAUUCUGGUGGGGUUCGUGUGGGCGCGUAGGGCCCCCUGACGGCCUGGCCUGACGCAUCAGCGGCGAGCCAUGGCUCCCGCUCCCGUUCCAGCUCUACCUCCAGCCAUGGAUAAUAAGGAUGAGGGCGACGGUGGCGCCAAGAACCAGAACGGCAUGGUGGUGGACGAGGGCGACAGUGGCGCCAAGAACCAGAACAGCAUGGUGGUGGUGAAAUCCGAGGCUGUCUGCACGGAUGAUGGCCCUCUGGUGGUCGCUACUGAGCUUGUGAAAUACGAGGGAGGCGAUACCACUGAAUGCUCGAGCUCGUUUGGGGACACCUGCUCUGGAUUUGAAGGCGAGGCAGACAAUGGUGAACCAGAAGUGAAUUCUGGCAUGUCCGCUCAUGACAAUGGUGUUGGGCCCUCAAAGCCCCCUAGGUGAGUCCUCCAUACUUCCUCGUUUGCCCUGAAUGCUACUGAUCUCAUUAUUGUGCAUUCCUGGUUCAUGGAAGAAUGAACAGGUGUAAGAUUAUGCUAGGUUGUUAUGUGCUUUUGUGUUUCAGUGUUUGCCUGUUUGGUUUUCCCUCUCUCCCGCGCUCCUGGUGAUAAAACAGAAGGUUGUAGUAGGGUUUCGACUUAUACUAUGUUGUAAUUAUUGCACCUUCCUGAUUGCGGAAGCGACAAGAAACGUAGGAUCAUCAUUGUACCUAAAACAGAAAGAUAUGAUUCAGUAACGUAAUGCGGUGUCUUGUAUGCUUAUUGAUUAGUACCUUCCCAUCGGAAUUUUCCUUUUCUGGGCCACAUUUCGUUCAUCAUUUAUAUGAAAUGUUAAAAACUUAGAAGGUGAUAAUAACACUUAGAUUAGGACAGGUAUAAUUUCUGCGCAAUUCUUAUAUGCCAAAUAGAAGCAGGUAGCAACAGCCUGAAAAAAAAAUGUGUUCUGUCCUAUGAAGUGCCGUGCCACUUAUGUGAAGUGUGCCAAUCACAAUCAGAAGAGGCAAAUUACCAGAUAACCCUAUGAUCUUAUGUUUUUCAGGUAGCUAUUUAGAAACACAAUUAAGCAAAUGGUAGCUUAUUCAAAAGCAUUGUGAAUUUACCGUUUUGGUUGUUCAACCAGGACUUCGUUUCAGCAACCAGGUAGAUUAAUUCGAUUAUAAUCGGCAUGGAUUUAUGGGUGACCAUAUGUCUGUCAAUCCAGUAGUAGGCCAAAACACAAAAUAUUGACACAAAGAGCACAAAUAUCCUUCUGGUUAGAGAGUCCUUGUGUCAGUGUUACCUUUUUCUUCUUUAGCUUUUUGGAAAAGUUCACCUAGGUGUUUUACUAAAUGGUAUAUGUUAAACAUGAUAGUCUGAAUUUGCAAAAGAAGUUUCCAGCUUGGGAUUCAAAACCAUGCCAACAUUGAUGAUUUUUUUUAUUGCUGUAGACCUAUAUAGAUUCCUUUUGUGCCUUUCAGGAGACAUUGUUAUUUUUAUGCUUAUUGCCUUUCUUUAAAAGUAUGGUUCUGAUUUGUGCCUGCUUAUUUCUGAUAUUCAUGCUUUAAUAAAAAAACUAUAAUGUGUAGUCAUGAACAAAGAAAUCGAUAUUGAGCUACUCUUAUGAAUGCUUCAAAGUGUAAGCUUACCUGUCAUUUUAUGGGUAUGGCUAGAAUAUAGAACAAGCAACUACAGUACUUGCUAUAUUUCUUAUCUUGUUGUAAUGUUUUAUUUUGACAUGCUUCAUUUUUAUACAAAUUUUUUGUGAUUAAUCUUCAGAAGGAAAAAAGUGAUGGCUGAGUGGAGCAAUUCUGUUCGUCCAAUUGAGUGGAGAUGCCACUGGUUAGAGUUGCGAAUGAGGGAACUGUCAUCUCAAGUAUCAAAGUAUGACAGGGAGCUUGCUCUAAUAAAGAAACAAAAGGAAUCAAAACAAGCAGUAAGCAAAGCAAAUGGUACUAUGUCAGAAUCGAUGCAGAUUCACAAAGGCCAUGGAAAGAGUAUCAUGAAGAGGAGAAAGAGGAAGAGGCAUGAAGAAAAUGUUGAUGCGUCCUCGUACAUCAGCAAGCACCGGAUAUUGUCAUACUACCAUGGUCUGGCAUCCAAUUAUGUCGUCUUCUUUGUAGGGAUAGGACAUCAAUUUAUCUGUGUUUGUGUUAAUUUUGCACCAGGUUUCGUUCUUAAUGACAAUAAUUCUUUCAAUAUUUUGCAGAUAAACAAAAUAAGGGAGCUGAAACUGAUGGUGUCUUGGUUGAUGACGAUUGUGUCACAGGUAUGAAUAUAUCUAUUCAGUAUCUUGUCAAACUUUUCAGUGAAGUUAAAAUGGAAAACAUAGUAUCUAGCAAAGGUACACCAUUAGACAGAAUUAGCUCUUGACUCAGUUGUGAGAAAAAAGUUGCUUUUGUUACACCAUAUGCAGUAUGCACGCUAUCAAAGGAAACCAAGAUAUCUAAUAUAACCUUGGUGCCCCAGUUUUUUUCUUUAACACAAAGGAGACCUGCGCAUCUUUGUAUUAAGAAUAAAAAGGGGCAAGAACCCUUACAAUGCACACCGACACACCCUUUGAUUUUAAGAAAAAUAAGCGCCCUUUUUGUACAACAAACAUGAUCUUGACCAAAACUAGAAACUAGACACCAUCCCAUUUUUGCCUUUUCAUUUUAGACUAUACCUUCGAUUUUACUUUAUUAGAAUAUAUAUGUCAAUAAAAGUAUAAAACCUACAAUUGUUUGAAAGCACAUUACAUGGCAAUUUUUUAAUGUCAUUUAUGUGACAAAUCUUAAUGCUUACAUGUACUUUUGUGGUCUUGGUUUUUAAAGUUGGAAAGUAUCCAAGCAAAUAUUCUCUCUAUCCAAGUAUGUAGGGUGUAUUUUAUUUUGGCAGUGUUCAAAACUAGACCUUUUUUUAACCGGGAUUGAAAACUAGACUUUGAUCAUUUUUUUCUCGCAAUACUGUUUACACAUUACAGCUAUAACACGAAUUCAGUGUGAAAGCACUUUGAAAUAUUUAUGCAGCUGUAUUGUUUAUACACAAGUAAUACAUAAUUUGACUAAGCUUAAAUCAGAUAUAUGGUCUUUGAAUUUCCAGAAACAUGCAUACCUUACAUAAUUUGAAAGAGUUAGUUUAUAUAGCCAUAUGAUAAAAUCAUAAAACAUGCCAACAUCUUCCUGACCCUCUAUGGUUUUAUUUGAUAUUAUGGUAGCUUUCCCAUUUUUGGAUAGAUCAAUGAAGGACAUACAUAACCACUCGAGGUUUAGUUAAAUUGGCCAUGCAGAAACUGUGAUUCAUCUUUAUUCUCUGCCUAAGUAAUUGUCAUGCAAGUGCUAACUGUGUAUUUGGUUCAUUCUGAUUGCAGUUGAUGGUAGUAGCAGAGGUGGACUUGACACUGCUACAUUGCUUGAUUCCGAGGAUUAUGAUAUGAUUUGCGAGCAACGUACUUUACAGGAUAUUCUCCUGGAAAUUGAUGGGGUUCAGUCUCGAGUUCAAUUGCUGAAAGAUCGUCUCAACAAGGCUCAUUCUGAAGGAGAAAAUUUGGCAUUUUCUGGGGGCGAUACUCAUGUCCGGGUGUCUCGGAAGAGACAGCAUACUCAAAAGCACUCAUUCUCUUAUACAAAGUCUCGACACACUAAACCACAGAAAAAGAAGAAUCUAAACAUUUUGCUGAAGGAUGAUGAUGGACAAGCUCUUGCAGGAGGAUCUGCUUUGCUUCACAGAGAAACUGGUGCUCAUAUAAUAGGUACAAGUAGGAGUACUGAAGAAAGAAGUGGAGAGUGCAAUCACUUGAGGGACAAAGCCAUCACUUUGGACCUACUGUUGGGUACUGGCAAUUCCAUAACAAAUAGUGAUAUUGGGGAUUUAUACAAAGAAGUAAGUCUUUGGCCCUUUGCUUAUUCUUAUUCCUAAUUUAAUAAUUCAUUGCUUGUUUGGAGUUGGGUUGAUACUCUGGAAUUGCUGCUUACAGAUUAGAAUUUGGAUCAUCUUAUAUGCAAAUUAAGCUUGGGAUGUAUAAAUUCGCCCAUUUACUAUUUCUAGAGAAAAUAUUGAGAAAAUUACACUGCAUUUCUAAAAAUAUUGCAGGGAUGUCCGCUUUACUUGAUUACAUUUAAAUAAAAAAAGCAUGAUACCCAUGUAAACAUCUACUGUUUCUCUGUAGGAACCUGGAUCUGUAGUUAUGUCUUGGAUAUGAGGUAGGGGCUUAAAAAUUAUUAGGAUGUUUGUAAAUUAGAUCCAUACAGAAUUCUAUAUCUGCUUUGUUAGUCAUAGAUAUAAGAUAUCUCUAGUGAAAUUUGCAUGUUAUAAGAUUGAAGCCAUCAGGGGAGCAAUGUGAUGAAGCUAGUUAUUUUUAAAUUUGUUUUUGCAAACACACAAAUACUAGUAAUAUAGUAUGUUAUGUUUCCAUGACUACAUUUUGAAAGCUUAAUGAUAGUUGUGCAUCUAAAACUAUUUCACUGAUGUUGAACCACUAACGUUUUAGCUGAUUGGGCGAUAUAUUUGCACUAGCAGUAGCAUUUAGUUGAUACUACUGUUUCUUUUCUUUUUCUGUAGAACACUGAUGAUAUCCUCAUAGACAAUCAAGGAGCCAAUGAAGCUUGUGAGCAGUUUUAUAAGGCAAAGCAGCCUUCUGGAAGUUCUUCCAAAGACCAGAACAUUUCUGCUGCAGCAGAAAUGAAGAAUAAUUCUCCACCAGUGGAACUGAAGAACACUAGUGCUGCAGUUAAAGUUGAGAGCAUUUAUGCUCCAGUUGAAGUAGAUAGCACUUCUGCACCAGCAUUGGAGCAAGAGUCAUUCCUUGAAAAGUCACCCUCGAGGAAGCCUGUCUCCCCUGGGAACAAGCAGGAGCUGGAACCUAAGACAAGGCAGAAGAAGAAAGUCUCUUUCUUUACCAAGAAGCAGAGGAAAGAGGCCUCCAGAACUCCUGAUGCAAAGGAAAAAACUGAGGGCAUGUCCUCAGCUGCAAAGAACCAAAGGAGCACGGCCUCUGAUGUAGCAAAGGAGAAAACUGAAAGCACACCCUCUGCUGCAACAGGUCCAGGUGGAAAGAAGCGUAAAUCUGGAAUUGAACCUGCAAAUGCAGAGAAGCCAUCCUCAGCAGUGAAGAAGCAGAAAACUGGGAAGCCAUCCUCAGCAGCUACAAGGGCGCCAAAGGCUAAAAAUGCAGGCCCAGCAACAAAGAAGCAGGAGACUGAAAGCUCAUCCUCCACAGAGAAGACCGCGAGUGCCCCCCUGAAGUUGCAGGUUGAGAAGGCUGUACUGGUUGUAAAUAGCAGGAGGAGCCAAAGGGUCCGUAAGCCCAAAGUUUUUGCUGAAUGAAGAAGCAGAUAGAAUCGUCUUAGGCUCUCUGGU